AAAAUGAUCCGCCAUUUGAAAAGUUCCCUGACUUAUCCUGUAGAUGGCGCAGUGACCUCAUGACAAUCUUCAUCCACUAACUACCUCACAGCACAGCAGAGUGACAGAUCUGAAGCAGGCAGCUCAGGGACGCACGGAGGAGAGUGGUCCACCUCAACGGUAAAUAAACCAGUUUGUGAAAUACACAAUAAGUCAACAAGUUUCAGUUCAACCCACUUCACGAUGUUCCCCGCUGUGCUGGUCUCAGUCACGCCGAGUUAACGGUGAAUCACCAUGUAAUAUGCAAGCUAAAGUUAGAGUUAGCCAUCUGCUAUUAGCCUUGCUACACCGUUAGCCGUGCCAGUAACUGUAGAAUAAACAAAAGUACACAUUACGUGAUCGAGCUACUUCUCUUACUGAGGCAGCUGCAUGUCUCCAGAUGAGACCGGACCGGAAAUAAGUAACGAGAGUUAAAACGUGGGGGUACCGAUCGGCUGGGGUGGGAUUAUAAUUGAAAAUGCUUUUCUGGUCCAAGUUUCAUGAGUUGGUCUUCCUGUCGGCAGGAAGAGCACUAUACAGUAUCUACAGUGCAUAUAUAUUUUUCAUAAGUUCAUAAAAAAAUUAAAAAUCGGCCAACUAAUUGGUAAUCGGAUCUUUUGCCCCCCUAAUAAUUGGUGUCAGCAUCGGCCCCAAAACGUCCAUAUCAGUUGGGCCCUAGUAAGAAGCGUGUACAACACACUCAAUCUGAAGCGAAACACUCUCAAAAUUAACUAUGCACAACUCUGUGACUCAGCCCCCAAGUUGUUGUGUCAUCUUUUUGAGGAUUCAGAAUAUGGUCACCUUAUUUAAGCCCGAAAAUACUGCAAAAAAGCAUAUCAAAUGAGCUCAUUUUAAAGCGAUGCCAGCAACAUGGCAAAAACGAAUAAUAAAGGUGUUUUAGUUUUAAAAAAACAAAAAGUGCCCGAGUGUCUCAAAUCAAACAACUUGCUUUUAUGCAGAGCUUCAAAUAGUCAACUGUCUCAUGUUGUGGUACUGUUUGUGUUUGCUGUGGUUCUCUGCUUUUUUCCUCUCCCUCUUCUGUUUCUUCAAGUGCUGCUUUGUGCACCUGGUAAUGAUUGAGUUCACCUGUAUCCACUUACCAAUCAAGUACAGAGUAUAACGAGUAGAGAAGAAGAGGCAGCCAAUGCCAAUUACAGGGACAAGGACAAGUAUCUACCUCGUUCAAGUCCCGCCAAACUUUAAUUUGGCAAAAACCAACAUGGAUGUCUGUAUUUGAGACAUUUUAUUGCAGGAAAGAAAAGACUAUAUUGAGUCAGCGCCACAUGAUAACUUGAGUUAAUCCAAAAGUUUUGUCAACUUUGUGUGAAAACACAAGAAGCGAAAUGAUCAGAGGACCAGUUCUCAGCAGGAUUUCUGGCGAGCGAAAAGCAUAAAGGCAAAAGUCGAGAUGAGAGGAAGAGACAACGAGAUGAGUGACGAACACAAACUGAGGAAGUUGUGUUGAAAAAGUGGUAUAAGGUUGGACAGACUCAGUAGACUGGUGAUAUUUCCAAACAAAAGACUUUCCUGCGUGCAAAGCCAAAGGAUGGUUUGAACAUAUCACAACUGUUAUCCAUCGUAUCUCCACUUGUGUCUUUUUCCGCCUAAGCUUAGCUAUUCUAGAUGCUCUAGAGAUUUUGGCUAUUUCGGUUUGACGCAGCUGCUGUUGGUGGUUACAAGAUUUGGCCGGUUUGGAUCAGAGGUUCGCCAUAAGCCUUUCCACGCCAACAUAAACAUGCUCGCCUUGAAAUUGAGCAGAUGUGUGUGCGGAAAGAAAAAUUGCGAACUUGUGUUUUGGACAAAUGGAUCCACGCCAUACUCAGAGUUACUCCCACCAAGAGCCGAGAAAUAACAGAGGUCAUAAUGAGAAAGUUUAGGGUCACAGAAGAAGAGGUCUUGAUGUAUGUAUAUUUUACAGUUUGAAUUAAUUUGAUUUAUUUUAGAUUCUUCAGGCGAGAGUGAACUCAAACUAGAUUCAACUACUCAAAUACAAGCCACUUGUAAUCUCAACAGUUGAGUUAAAUGUGCAAAAAAAAGUGGUUGAUAAUUGCGUUUAAAAAUGUAAUAGGUAAUGCAAUGAUUACAUGUAACUGUUAAUGGAUUAUAGAGUUUCUUUGUGUGAAAUGUGAUCGGGUUAUUGUUUUAACCAACACCUAAUAUGUGAAAUUUAAACUAUGUUGAGAUAGUAUGAUGAUGUGGCAGUCAAGCAUCUUAACUCAACAUUUGCAUGCAAUAGGUUGCCAAUGAAAUAAUGGUUUCUACUACCUGCCAUUGACUUCAAUCAAUAUUUAACCCUCAGGGGCUCUUAGGACAUUUUUGUCCAUUUUUGGUGACUUUUUUCCUUUCUUUUGUUGAUCAUUUUGGCUGUGUUGAUACAAACAGGACGAUUUUUUUCUUUCCAAAUUUUCAAACCUGACCACCCAUUUUUGGGCAGGAAUUUAUUUUUUUUAAAUGAUUUUUCUAUCAAUGUCUAUGAUGUGCCAGUUAUUAACAACAACAUAAAUUUUGAUACAUUAUUAUGUUUGAUGUCUUGUCCGAUUUCUAAAAAAAUUACACUUAGGUCUAUCUGAAUAAAUCUCUUAGUUCAACUGUUCAAGAGAAAUACAUCAAACAUAACAAUUCAUCAUAAUUAAUGUUGUUGUUAAUUAUUGGCAUACCAUAGGCUGCCAAAUAAAUAAAAUAAAAUAAAAUAAAAUAAAUUCCUGCCCAGCAUCUAAUAUAUGGAAAAUAACUCCAAAUUUCUGCUUUUCCCAUUAAAAAUAACAGUGACAUCAUGUAGUCAAACUGGCAUUUAAAGGGUUAAAAUUCUGAAAAUGAAUUAAUAUUUGAUAGAUAUGAUCCGGAAUGAAGUUGAUUAAAUAUUUAAGCAAAAAUGGUGGAAAAAAUAUUAAUGUAUGAUAAUUUUAUAGCACUUUUAGGAGAUGGACAUUUUUGUCCAUCUAAGGACCUAAGUGUAACUUUUUUUCAAGGAGCCCAGAGGGUUAAUACAACUAAUUUCAACACGCUUCUGCAUAAUCAUAACAUUUCUUUGGAUACAUACUGCUAAAAUCUACAUAUUGUACCUUUAAUGUGGGCAAUGCAGGCUUCAUAUGUCUUCCAGCUUGACUGAGCAUUAUGUUUACACAAAUAUGAAACAAUAAUGAAAGUGAACAGUAACAGGAAAAAAGUCUUCACACAGCUUUGAGGUUCCCCUGGUGGGAGUUGUGGGGGAAUCAAAGAGCAGGAUGUGCUUUCUCUCCUGUUCGAUAACAAACACUUCAUCUCAAUGAGGUUGACUUCAGUAAACAUUGACUAAAUUACAAAUUCUGGCAAAGGAGGCAGCGGUGACUCAGCUCAGUCUUUGUCAUCAACUGAUGGAGAAGGAACCAGUAAAUUAAGGCGCCGUCAGUCUCAGGGAGCCGAGUCGCAGUCAUCAAUUCAUUAUCACCCACAUCCCAAGAACAAAACAACCUACGCUGUUAAAUAUUUCUGACUUAAGACACUUGGGUGACUAAAGCGGAGUUAUGCAACAUGUCUAAGUGGUGAACCCGCUGGAAGAGGAGCGUGGAGGGAGUCGAGAGUCAAAGUUUACUCUCCUGCAAGGGGCCCGGAAAAAGACUUGAUGGUGUAAUGGAGGACGAAGAAGACUUUUGGACGCAGAUUGUUUGUGAAGAGAGGCUUUCAGUUUUAGAUACAAGGUCGUCCCCUGAUCCUUCCAACCCUGUUUACUCAUGCCUUGAGUAUAUCAGUGCCAGUGUGUGUGUGUGUUUGUGUGUGUUUGUGUGUGUGUGUGUAGUUUGCGGGGGUGAUGAGUGAAUGUUUUUGUGUGUGUCACUUUGGUUACUCAUGGGACCAGAGGUUCUUUCAGAGACAGACAGCGUUGACUCGGCUCGACAAACUUGGACACUCACACACACAUGAGCGCAAACGCAGAUUAAUCUUCGUCAAGACUGGCAGGGCCUGCGGACAACUUGGGGACUAUUUUUUUUUUUAUGUGUGGGUGGAAGGACGUGAAAGGGACAUGUAAUCAGAACUCACAACGUGACUAGUCAGAUGAAGAUUUUUCUAAAUUUGUGUGACAUUUAAAGAUCUCUAAAUUUGAUUGAAAAUUAUAAUUUCAGAACUAACGGAGGCAGAUGUUUGACAAAAUAGACUUUUAAUUAUUUUGCUUUAUUUAAAUUUAUUGCAAAAACAUAGGGGGCAAAAAAGUUUCUUAUUACAAGAAAUUCAGGUCCGAUUUUUUGAGAAAAUUAAAAUAAGACAUUUUUCUGGAUUUAUCAGAUAAAUACAACAAAGACACUUCACGAAAACACUUCAAGAUUAUCCUCUGCCAAAGGUCCUUACACACAGGGAACGAUGCAAAUAUACGACCUGAAAUUACAAAAUAUUCAGAGGUGAAUUUUGACGCGCCUUACUAUACACAUCAAGCACGAUGCAAUUUUGCAACUUUUCGGAGGGAAAAAAGACGCGUCCUGGGUGGAAGCAAAAAGACUGACACAACAGCAGACUGACUGUAUUUCAGUUCUGAUUAGACACUAGUGUUGAGAUGUCUGUCUGUCAUGAUAGCAUGUACUGAGUCGGGGCCAGUACCAGAUAAGCACAUUAAACUAUAAUCCAUAAACGUAAGGUAACAACCAAGACCUAAUGGUGCUGUGACAGCAACGAGAUUGAGUUUGAGACAAUGAAAAUACAUAUGGUAUGUUGUAUCUGAACAGGUUAGCUUACGAGCUAAAGUUACUUAGCACAGAUGAAAGUUAAAACAAAGACGUUUAGCAAACUGUUCAAGCACACAAACCAUCGUCAUAUGAGAAAUCCGACACUAUGACUCUCCACAAGUUGUCCUUCAGGUCGUUAUCUUUGUAAUAUUUGUGUUUUUUAUCAAAAAGCACUCUGUUCUCCGACACGUAAACAAUCAGACGGUCGGCCAUGUUGGAUAUGCUGGUGAAUCUGACGUCGCAACAACAUGCAAUCUGAUUGGUCAGAGGUGGACACACAGUAUGCAAAACUUUAAAAAAUUUGACCGUGAUACCAAAAAAUAAAUGCCGCAAUAUAGCAGGACGGGGAAAUGUCACUGAUGUUAACGCUUGUAUUGACAGGAUACAGGUUUGAAAAAAAACCUUUUACCUAUACCGGCCAAGUAGUUAUUGAGUAUGAUUAAAAAAUAAACUAUUGUAGCUCUUUUUUUUCCACUCGUUUUGACUGACAGGUUCACUUUCUCUGUUUCUAGGGCAACCAAAGGUUUGGUUAUGCCAGUGUUUCUUUCAUGGCUGCCUUUUUUCAGUUCUUAAGUCAAAUAAGUGGCAUUUUUGGAAACUCAAGUGCAGUGCUGCCUGAUUUGUUGUUUACCAGACACUGCUGUGAAAGGGUCAAAAGGAUUCCUGCGACUUUGCAAAGCAAGACAACUAACAAACUUUCAAGAGACUCCAUUUCAAGUAUGUCAUGAGAUUCCUCAAGUGGACUGUUUUUUUUACAGACUUGUUCUUUUUCUUCUUUUUAACAAAUAACCAAGUGAUGCAAUUUUAUGUAUCCCUGUGAUCCACGAACAAGAGUGACUUCAUGUCCAUCCAGAGGGGUUUAAUUGGCUUUGAGUGCAAACAUGAGAAAAUCCUGUCCAAGUUUGUUGCUUUGAGGAUACCUUGACAGGACCACCACCUAGCAAGCAUAUAAAGCUUUUUCUUUCUUCAUGGGAUUCACUGUUGACCGAGAUCUGAACAUGUUUGAUGGUUUUUAUCAAGGGUGAAUAAUCACAAGGAAUGCUGAGAUUAUUAUAAGAGCAGAAAUUCCUCAAAGUAAACUUGAAAUAUCGACAAGGACGCCGAUUUCAGUUUUUACCUCUAGACUUUGCAGAAAUAACGUAGAAAGAAUUUUGAAAAUUGCAAAUAACUUGACAUAUUUUUGAACAAACCAAUUAAAUAUUCAGUGAUGACCUUGUGUUGUGGAUCAAAUGUUCGAGUGUAUGGGAAUAAAGACUAUUUUCACUCCCUGUGAACUCAUGUGCCCUGAAGAUGGUGUCACAACGAUUUGUAAAGACUUGGAAAAGGACUGACGGUGUGCCUUCGAGUGUUUAAAAGUGUAUUUAUCACUGACUAGGCUGCUGUUUGGGAUAUCUGUCAGCUCUGAAAGGUACGACACAUAGUAGUUAUACCUCAAACUUAACACUUAAGAACUCUGCUGGAUCGCCGGUGAUCCCAUGUGACACCAUUAAUAUUGUUUACAGUUUCUUAGGAACUAUACCGUUUAUCUCUAUGGGAUAAAAAGUUCAAAAGCUUACCCUUUUGGCGAUCUAUCGAGGGUUUCCAGGCAUUUUUACACCUUCCACAAGGUUUACAACCUAGCCACAAAAAUAAGUGUUUGAUCAAAGACAUUUGAUGGUAAAUCUGCAGUGAUAUACCGGUGAAAACAUGAUUAUUUAUCAUAUUGUUGUGAUAGAAUAAGAUCGCUAUCGCUAAAUGCCACUGAUGUCUUCCAGGUUUGACAAGCUGUUUUGAUGACAUCUUUUUUUGUCAACUUUGCGACCAAUGCCAUGGUCUCAUAUUCUUCUUCUAUUGUUCCCUUGAUGGUAGUGUCCAAUAAGAGGCAACCAAAGAUCAACAAGAGACAAGAAAGUUCCCUGCUUGUAUACAAAGUGAGAAAUAAUGGUCCUCAAUGCUUGGAAACGAGCAAAAAAGAGAUUAUGAGCAGUAUGAUGUGACCCUCUGUCUCAUCCCAGACAGGAACUACUUCAAGGAGUGACAUAAACAACUGGAAAUAGCAAAAAAAACACCUGUAAGAAUUAGUGUAAAUAUGUAAAUAGUUCCUGUUGUGUGUUUGUUCCAAUCCCAAUAUUUCUUCUCCUGAUAGCCAAGACUUGAGAGAAUGAUGUGACGGUGAGAAAAGGCUUGGUCACUGUAGAUUUUUGAGCAAAGUACUGUUGGUAUCAAUUUCCAUUUUUGUUUUUUGGUUGACUUUUAUGAUUCUGAAUCUACUGUCACAUUCAUUUUACAUAACUUUGCACCCAUAAACUGACAGCUGAGGUUUUUGCUAUUUGCUAUGCUUAAAAAGACAGAGUUGCAACAUAGAUUUUUACAAAAAAGGCGAACAAAAAAUAGCAAAAUAUAGCUGGGAGUUCUGAGGGUUAAGGUUAUCAGUAAGUAGAAGACAUUAGCCUUUCAUUUCACCCCUGCUUUUAAAGACAUGCUGUUUUCAUUAAAAUACAUAGCCGAGGUGUACCUCAAGGUUCUGUACUUGGACCCCACACUUUUUACUAUCUGCACGUUCCCUCUUGCUUUAUGACUAACCACAGAUGCCUCUAUUUAGUGUCCAUUUCCAAUUCUAAACAUAGUGGACUAUAAUCUAGAUUUGCUUCUGCAUAUCUGCGUUCCUGUUCAUAUUUAUUCUCCUCUAGGUGUAGCUUUUAACUUGACACAUGUCUGAAUUUCCACUUUCUCCGUCUGUUUGUAUUUUAAUUGAUUUUUAAAACUAAUGAGGUCGUUUGUGUUUCAUCAGCAUUUCAUUGCCAUAUGUACGACUGCAGACAGUAAAUAUGCAGAGAUUUAUAGCGUUGCAGUUCAUUGUGCUCGGAGCUUAUUGAAUAAAUUGCAGAAUUACUAAUACAUCUAAAUGACUCACAGGGUCCUAAAGAAGUGGCUUUAUUACCUCGACUGUAUUUGAUUGAUGGUAAACAGAUGAAUUGAAAAUAGUCACACUAAAUGUUGUGUUAUCUACCAUUAGAGAUUUUUACAGUCAUUACAUAUUGAUUGUGUCGUCUUGCACACUGUUUACCCCUUGUGUUCGGCUCAAUAUGUAAGUACCUAACAAGUAACAAAGCUCCUUUGUAAUGGAAUAAUGAAGUCCAAUGGCUGUGAUGUGUAGAUAUGAGGAAAAAUGGGGUGAUAUUUAAGUGUGAGACAAGGAUAUAAUUGCGCCACAGUCGCUACCUGCAGAACCAGAUGUGGCUGGUUAGAAGAGAUAGAGCCUGUCAUGAUAUUAGCUUUUCACUUCACAAGUACCAAGGCCAAAAAAUGAAUGAAUGAAUAAAUCGUUUUACCAAAAUGCCGAUUUAGGCCUGCAUGCACUCCUGUGGAUUAAGUCCAAAAUUUGUUUUCAUGUGGCCUCAGAUUUAUCCACGGCACGCAGGAGUGAUGUUUUCGCUGCGCUGUUGAAAUACUGAUCGGCAUAGAUUGAGAAAAUUCCUCCAACUCAGAAAAUUCAGGGACACAGCAGAGGAAUUGAAGACCUUCUCCACCUGUCGAGGGUGAAUUGGUCUAAUGGUGAUCACAUCUGGUCAGGUCGGACUGACCUAAAUAACAAGACUGAGAUCUAGAGGAGAAAUAAAGCAGGUUUAGCAAUUUUGGAAUCAACAUCAGAGUUUCAACUGUGAGGGGUAUAUUUCUUAUCUUGUCCUGUCCUGAACUCUGUUUAACAUGUAAAUUAUGUUCACUGUGUCACAUAAUGUAGUCGAUGUGUACAUGACUCUGCGUGAUACAAUAUGUGAUCAUGCAACUCUUACCCCAGGAUAUAUUAAACAUUUGAUAUCAAGGACUUUAUUCUCAACCUCUGACUGGAUAUUUGAAUACAUUUACACGGUAUGUAAGCGCAGCUAAAUUUACAUAUAGAAGAGAUAGUCGUUUAACAUAUGCAAACCCCCCAAGCCAACCAGUACACUGAGCCACAGAAGUAGAAACUGGAACAAUACAAGCUGUAGAUGACGGCAGGGAUCAGUACACCACUGCGAGGGUUUAAUAAUGUGUCAUAUCUCUCGUACGGCUGAGUGUGAGCUUUCCCGUGUUCGCCUGCACCAGUGUGUUCGUGCACAGAUCUGUCACAUUUACCGUGAGAAGAGUGUUGAUUCCACUUUUAUGUUUCCUGCAGCAACACUUCAACACCGAAGUGACAGAACUCCCCGACAGAGCCCAGCUCACAGCAGGGCGGGCGGUUAUUGGGAUGCCGUGUGUGCAACCUGAGUUUGAGCAGCAUGCACGCCGGUUCUCACACAUGUGCCUGAGAGUGUCUGUGUGGAUAUGAGAGUGUGUGUUUGGGCCUGGAGUGAAAACAGAGCUGGUUCAGCAAAGGUACUUUAGAUCUGCCCUUGACCCAAGUCAAUCUGCCAUGUCUAGUUUUAAAAUUAAGCACAUGAUGGCUGUGUAGGCCCAGCCCACGCACCUUCUGGCCACAUUAGCAUUUGAGCAUCCAAUCGUACCAAAAAGCUUCACAUCAAAACUGAACGGCAGCAACUAUGUUGCAUAAACAUGUCUUUGGGUGAUAGACAGUGGUUGUCAUUUUCAUCAUGAAAUGUCUUUGCACUUUAUAAAGUAUGUCCUGCAGAACAGUGCAGCCUGACAUGAAAGCAGGUUUUGCCCUUUUAAGCUCUACCUUUGUGUGAUAAUUCCUGGAAACGGGUGCAAAAUACUGUGUUGAAUAAACUGAAAUAAAACAUUCAGAAAGAAUCUGAGCCCAGUGCAUGUGACUUCUUACGAUGGAGAUAGUUAUGUGAGUUCACUGAACCUCAAAGAAGACAUAUUUUACAGAUUUUACCUAUACUGAUGCCUCUGAAGACUGUCGUUUAAGCAUUAUUCAGCAUCUCUCUGUAAAGUGGGACUUAACACAGUUUUGUAGUUGCAAAACACCGAAAAAAUUAAUUAGUCCUUUACUGAUGAUGUCUGACUACUCACCCUCCAUUUAACCACGCUAGCCUAUGUAAGCUAUUGUUGCAUUGGCUAUCAUAUUGUUACAUUUUGCUAGUGGUAGGUAGCCUUCAUUCAAGGUCCAAGAACAUGAUUCAAUACGAGGUGACAGUUAAGAUGCAAAUUCAGCUCCUACUGGCCUUUGUUUACAAAAUUCCCAUAAUUUAAGAUGGGAAAAGUUAAGAUUGGACUAUGCUGUUAUCUCAAAAAGAUAAUUCCUUAUGAUUUUCAGAUGUGGUGAUUUUUUGGAAGUUAAAAAAAAAAAUGCUUGCUUGUCGGCUUGUUGUCUGACAAAGCUACCAGGUAGGCUUGUCUUUUGGGAUUGCUCUAAUGGGACCAAGUUGUUCAGGUAAAUCAAAAAAUGUUAUCAAAAAAGGUUUAAAGGAUAAUCCUAAAUCAAUCCAAACACCAUGAUAUUAAACAUUUCAAAUCUAUGCAGAGGAGUGCCACAAUAGCAUGUAAUAGCAAUGGGUCUGAGAUUGGAUUAGGCUUUCUCUUGGGCACCAACUGUUACUAGAUAGGACAUCUUCCUCCAGUCUAGAGGAGUUGUUAAAUUCCUGACAAAUCAGAUUUGGAUAUUUAUCGGACAGUGUUAUCAGCAUAGAGUUGAAACUAAACACUACAGGUAAAUUAUAAACAAAAAUAGGAAAAAAGAGGUGGACCUGAUGUUGAUCCCUGAGGCACACCUCAUUAAGGAAUCAAUGUAUUUCUUGAAAUAAUGAAAUAUUUAUGAUCUUGGUUAAAUCAAUACAAACCUUCAAGAAGUUUGUUAUAAAUUUUCACCAUUUUGGCAUGUUUUUAGGCAUGAAAAGAUUCCAGCAUCCCAACCCAACAGAGGUAUUCUAAAACCCACCACCAUUUUAGCACAAUACAUUGAAUAGUUUGAUUUCAUGACCAACAUUUCUUCCUGGCAAAUGCAGCUUGAAUGCUCACAGCUAACAUUAUGCAGUCGUUUUUGGUGAACCCUUCACAAAGACACAUUGCAAGUUCGGCCUGGCUGAGAAAAAUAGCAGGCGAGCUUAGUUGAAACGUCUGAAAGCAAUUGGGGGGGAAAAAGCUACUGAAAAAAAUGCCAUGGCAAUUUGGUGAAUUACAUCUCCCCGUUUGCUUCCGCACACACCAUAUGGGGUGUUUUUGUGAAAUUCAGAUGGCCUUUGCUCACGCUGUCACUUAGGCUCUGAAAUUAGCUGCAAUUUAGCUCUUUUUGAAAACAUCAACCCGAGAAAUACAAAAAGAAAAUCCAACCGUCAAUAGAAAAACAAAGCUUUACAUUUGUCUUGUUCAUUGACAGGCCUUUUCUUUACAAGGGCAGUAAGUUCAGCGAGGAGCGAGACUGUCCUUAAAUGAGAGCAAAUGUGUUCAAAGCCUCGCUCGCUAGCACAAGCAUCUGUCAAACACCCUUGAGCAAGAUGCCAAUUUCUGUCUUCAUUACUAUCAGUCAUUUGAGAAAAUCGGCCCUUAAUGGCCCAAAUUUCUCCGACAAAGUGAAAAGUUUUCAAGAGGCAAGAGAAACAGACCACUUCACUUGCUUUUACUGCUGUUCUCUGGGUUCCAUUGGUUUUAGAUUAAGAUUCAAUAUGUAUGCUCCAAAAUAAAGAUUAAAGGGUUUCAUGCACAAAUAAGAGAUAAUGUAGGUAAUGUGAUUAAGAACACAAAGUGAGUCUCAGAUGGACUUUAUAAAGGGAUUCUUGUGCACAGUUGUCCACUUUAUAUUAUCUUGCUAAUAAUUAAACCCUGGUUACUCGCUAAAAAUCAUUUGAUUUACCACUGAUUAUUAUACCAUACAAGUUAAACCAUUACAUUCAGCAAUGUGCAGUUUUUAUGCAGAUGUGUAGCUCUUUCUAGUGCCAUUUCUUACAGGGUUGGAUUCUGUGCAAACACAUCUAUAUGCUAUUUGGGCACAAGGUGCAGUGGCAUAGAUACAGUGCUGACCUUCAGUAGGGCUUGACCGAUAUGGAUUUUUUGGGGCCAAUGCCGAUACCGAUAAUGAUCAUAAGGGGGGGGGAGAUCAGAUUACAGAUUAAUCGGCCGAUUUUUUAUUUUUUUUACUUAAGUUAUAAAAAAUAUAUAUGUAUACUGUAGAUACUGUGGAUAUACUGUAGGCUACUGCUCUUGACAACGACAGGAAGACUGAACUGAUCAAACUUGGACCGGAAAAGCGUUUUCAACUACGAUUGGUGCCUACGCGUCUUCACUCACGAUACUCAUUUACGGUCCGGUCUCAUCUGGAGACAUGCAGCUGCCUCAGUAAGAGAAGUAGCUCGAUCACGUAAUGUUUACUGUUGUUUGUUCUACCGUUACUGACACGGCUAACAGUGUAGCAAGGCUUAUAGCAGAUUGCUAACUCUAACUUUAGCUUGCAUAUUACAUGGUGCUUCACUGUUAACUCAGCGUGACCGAGACCAGCACAGCGGGGAACAUCGUGAAGUGGGUUGAACUGAAACUUGUUGACUUAUUGUGUACGCCUCAACUGGUUUAUCCACUGUUGAGGCGGACCACUCCCCUCCGUGCGUCCCUGAGCUGCCCAUUGUCCAGAGGUCGUUGCGCCAUCUACAGGAUAAGUAGAUGUUUUCAAAUGGCGGAACAUUUUCAAAGUGAAACCAAAUCUUGUUCUCCGCAUUUUAUUUCUGAAAAUAUCAGCGAAAAUCGUCGAGUUUUGGCCAGUUACCGAUUAGUCUCAAACAGGCUAAAUUGGCCGAUUUAAUCGACUUGCUGAUAAAUCAGUCUGGCCCUAACCUCCAGCUUCUUGCAGGAAGAUUAACCGACCUCUACUCUUUGUUGGAAUUGUGGGCACUUUUUUGAAUCACUUUCAAUCGCAGGCGUUUGGUCUCUAUUUUCUAUACGAUGAUGUUGUUUUCUUCUUGUAGAAUAUGGUGGUCCAUGCACUAUUCAUACAUUGAGACUUAUUCAUGACAGAAUCCAAUCAUUUUUUUAUCACCUUAUCCGCCAUCCCCCUCCCUACACACGGACAUACGCAAGUAAAGAUCAGAGACCUUGUUGGUUGAAGUUGUUUGAAGAAGGCUGUUAUUACACCUUCUGGGAGAAGAAAGAAGAAAAAACAUGUUACCAUUACAGAAAAGAUGCCCGAGGCUUCAAUGACUUGCUAUGCCCUUUCAUUUAGUUUCUGUGUUGGAGUUCUCGCCAAUGAAUGGAGAAUCUAAGAGAACCCUUAAGGUGCCUGGAAAGUUGUUCAUGAGGUGCAGCGGGGAGCAGAAAGUUGAACUGCUGGGUAGAUUGAAAUUGCUGGCCACUGAUCCUAGAGAACAGCAGUGCGGUGAUUACUACCGUGAGGUGUUUACACCUUUAGGGUGUCUGCUGGCACUUGCUGGAGUGGAGUGAGGUGUUUUAUCUGGCUCAGAUAAUUAAAAACAAUCCUCAAACAUUCAAAAAUGAACAAAUGGGAUAGUACUUGGUGGAGGAUGUUGUCUUUUGAAAUUGAAGAGGUCACCAUCUUGGUUGGAGUGGCUUUAGACGGACAAUAUGUUUAAUGCACAUUCUUAGAUUGUCUCUAUUUUGGUUGAAAGUCAGUCAAAGUAGCAACAGCUGACCAAAAGGUAGCCAAAUUUUUAAAGCAAAGUCUGCUUCAUUGCUGGUUUUACUCCAAAUGGGACCAAUGUUUUAAAAAAAUAACACCGCACUGUAUGAAUGAAGACUUGAAACUAGCAAUUAAGGCGAUUAAAUCAUUAGGAAAAUGUUAAUAAGGUAAUAAAUUGACAGGGAAAUGGGGUAAUUUUCCCAUCUGGUUUCUUUGAGCUGAGUGCAGCCCCCCCUUUGCCAGCGAUGAGAAACAAUGCAGGUUAAUUGCACUCCAGCACUGGCUUCGCUUUUGAAUCCAAGAGUGGCUACUUCCACUUCCUUUUACACGGUCCGUGGUUUCAUGCCUAGGGGGUUAUUUUUUUCAGUUUUCUUGCAAAUGAUGGCGCCAUUAAACCUUUGUCAAUUAGCCAUCUGGGGGUCGAUGGGAAAAAAAGCACUCAGGCUGUAAUCAUGGUUCCCCUACCUUGCUUGCCAAAUACUCUCUAACCGGCUGGACUCUCCAACUCCCAACUCUCAAAUGUCCUUAUGCGCUUCAUAAUCACCCUGUGGAAAUGUGCACAAAUCUGUUCGUGUGUGUAUUUGUGUGUGCACGUCGCAGUUUGUCUCCUUUUUUAAAAUGACUGUGAAAAUCCUCCGCGCGAUUGACGAGCACCAUGUAAAAACAUUUACAUUCUCUACUUCUUGGUGCCAGUCUGGAUUAAACUGGCGAUGAGGAGGCUCCACUUUGAUUAACCUGCAUGAAUAACAGGGGCCAUCGGCACGAGAAAUCUCUGUGGACUCCACACUUGUGCACGCCCGCACACACACUCACCAUUUAGAUAAUUGACUCAUCAUGUCUUUGUCAACACUCCUGUCUUUUUUCUCAUUCACACCCUCUUUGCUGUCCUAAACUCACUGCACUGUUACAGCUAGUUGGAUAAAAAAGCCUCCACCAUGUGUGACGUGUGAAACUCUCUCUCCCUCUGUAUCCCUCUCCGUUUAUGCUCAAAGGCACCCCUGCGUCUUGCUAGCAAUCAGCAGGAGCUGCUUGACUCAGCCUGUAUGUAAAUGAGGUGAUUAUCUCACUUUUGGAAAAACCUGUUAUCUCUGUGUUUGUUUUAUAAUGUGCAGUAUGCAGGAGAUACCUGCAACUUUUAGGGACGCAGCAGGGAGAAGGUAAACGGAUAUGUCAGAAACUGAUGAAUUAGUAGUUUCUGAUUCUGAACUUGCACAGUUUUUAGGUUUUGUUGUGAAAAUAGAGUCCCAGCUGCAGAGGGAACCAUUGGCUAAGGGGUUUAGAGGUGCGCCCCAUGUAUAGAGACUACAUCAAGCAUGCAGCUCAGGUUUGAUUCUGGCCUGCAGUUUUUAUUGUGUGCACCCUCUGGGCACUAUUUUGGACUUUAAUUCAUAGGUGCCAUAUGAUAAGCUCAUUCCAAGUACUGGGAAUUGGUUCCGAACACAUACUCAAAAAAAGGCCUGUGGAUUUAAUGGUUGGAGUUACACUUUCAAGAUAUCUAAAAGGCAUGGUUGAUGAUUGGAGAGAUUGGUAAUUAUUAUGGUCAUGGUCCUAAAGUUCGAUUUUCAUAAAGUGAAGAGAAAAAAGAAUGGAAAAAAUCUGUUCACCCUAGCAGGUGCAGGGCUGCAAAAACAUAGACCAAUGCAAGCCAUCCGUCCCAGGCGCAAUAUUUUUAAAUCCUGCCUCCUUCACUUCUGAUUGGCUAGAAAAGCUGGAAACGUCAUCACACACUCAAGUCAAACGUGGGCUGUUGGCUCUGUACAUCAAACAGAACAUUAUCGCACAUCUGAAUCUCCGAACCCUAACCCUAACCCUUACCCUCAUUCUAACCCUAACCCUAACCCUAACCCAAAAGACGAUGACGUUUCACAGCCAUUAGGAAUAACCAAUCGGAGCCCAGCAUUUCUAGCCAAUCAGAGGUGAAGGAGGGCGGGACCUUGCCCUACCAUCCAAAAAAAAUAAUAAUAAUUCCUGGACAGCUAGUAUUGGUCAAUCUCAUGCUCUGCUUCUCCAUCCAAUCACCUUGCUGUAUUCGACACACCUCUCCCCCCUAGUUCCGACUAAUCCCCUCCCACUCUCUCGGCUCUCCUUGGAACUCUGAGCAGCUAAAACUAGCGUAGCAGCUUAGCUACAGGAGCUGUGAUGGAGACGGAUGGGGAAAAAAAAAAACCCUUUUCUGCUUGCCCCACCACCAAAAGUGCAAAGAAAACGCAAGCCAACGGAAGAAAGGGCAGAGUCGAAGAGGAUCAUCAACCACGCCUUUAAUGUAAAUAAAACUGCUGACUGCUUGCUUUGAAUGGGAGUCGAACCACGAACUAAAUGACCUCCACCGUAAGUCAUCCCCAGCUUAUCACACCACAUCACCUGACUCCAAAGUCAAACUGAAAUAUUAAUUCAGAGAAUAGAGGCCGGCGUUGACAUGUAAGAGGCAUCCAAGGAGUCAUAUUUGGAAGUAUUGGCUCACUAACCAAGCUGGCGUAAAUGAUAGCUUGGGAGGGAGAUUGAGCAGAGAAGUCAUGAGUUCUGCAGGAUGGAUACAUGGUCCCAUGCUGGGAACCUCGCUCACAAAUAGUGCCAACAAUGUUCACUGGAGCAGACAAGCGAGUUAAGACACUGCCGCAGAGGGCAGGACUGGGAUUUUCCCAGCUUGUGGCCAAUUGUUUUAUCCCUCGACUCCCACAAAACACGCUGUUAAAGGGGGCGCGCCUUUGAUUUAAAGGCCAGCUGGUUUGUCAUGAGUAGUACCAGUCAACCUGUGAAAACAGCUGUGAAAUGUCCUGCAGCUUUCAUCCCUGACAAAAUCAACCCUGGGUAAGAUUUUCCUUGCUUGGCUUGGCCUUGUGGAUGAAAUUUUAACCAAAAUCUGGUGGUGCAAACUAGAGGAAUGGAGUUUGACAGGUGUGGGAAUUUAACAGACAGGAGGGAGUCAAUAAAGAUUUAUUGUUUGCCAAAAAGAAACGUGUUGGGUACCAGGCUCAAGUUUCGAGUACUUCUCAAAAGGGAAAAUUCUGUCUUUUAAGGUCCUUUCUUUUAGCUAGCAGUGUUGUUUUUGUGCACAGCAGACCUCAUCACAUAGCCUCUGGCUGCUGUGUAUAUUUUUUUCAUAAUUUAAAGGUCAGUGUCACCAGGGUAAUCACUACAACACUUUCUAUUAUCAUAUAAGGGUGAAAGAGGACAUAAAUAAGCUAUUUCAGUCUUUCUAAGUGACAUUUGUUUAUAUUUGUGGUCUUGAUGUCUUAUGAUGAUCCCCGUCUGGCCGACAUUUUAUUUACUGCUAAAUCACCAGUCGUGUGUAUGCAUUCGCUUUGGCAAACGGCCUCGGCUGUAAAUCUCCAAGCUGCAUUUUUACUUGUGCCCAAGCCCCCUAUAGUUCAUGAAUAACUCUUGCUUUAAAGAUACCGAGAGUGGGUUCGGGCAAGGGAAGGGGUGGGAUAUAAAUCUGAGGCUGACACCUUCAGUGAAAGUCAUUAGUCAGCCGUCACUGACCCUGGCCCAACGCCAUGUCACAAGAACCUCCCUCUCUCUCCAUCACUCGCUCGUUCUUUUCCCAGCCUCCCUAUCGAGAGUUACCUCACCUGCUUAUAGCCUCAUUCCUUUAAUGGAGUCGAUGGCAUAAAGGGCAGGACUCAACCAUUUUUUAAGCAUAAAAGCAAACACACAUAAGCGCAGGCUACUUUACAUAAUAUUAAACUAUUAGCAUGCUAAAUGAAUCAAGUUAACUCUAUUUAUGAAGAGAAUUUACGGUUAAACCAAAGGAUAAACAAACAAAACAGCAAGCAGGAGGUAAUGUACAUAUCUUCCUUUUAGAUUGGGGUGGCCAAACUAGAGGUUGGUUAAAAAGGGGCACACUUAGUAUCAAUAAAUAAUCUUCCUGAACAUCACUUAUCAUAUAUAAAAAAACUACUUUUACAAAAGUAUCAUACGUUUAUUUACAAUGCCAAUCCACAUAACUAUAAUUCACAAUCCUUAAUGGCUUUAGAGCGGAAGACAGCAUCCAAGAUUUCCAAAAAGAAAGCAAAGUUUUGACUCAUCACCCAAUUGGAUGGUUUUACACUUAGUCUCAAAGUCAGCCAGGGUGCUGCUGGAUCAAGAUUUUCUUCCACUCUUAAGAGUACAAGACAUGGUUGAGUUUCCAUGAUUUCCAAAGAGAAUGUCAUUUUUUGUUAUUUUAGAAAAGUGGAUUGCUUUUGGAUUUAGGCUCAGUUCAUCUUGAGUGGGCUUGGGAGCAAGAGCUGUUCAAUCAGGAUUUCUUCCAUUCUUAAGAGUAGAAGACACUGUUUUGUUUCCAUGAUUUCCAAAGAGAAUGUCAUUUUUUGUUAUUUUAGAAAAGUGGAUUGCUUUUGGAUUUAGGCUCAGUUUCUCUUGAGUAAGCUUGGGGGAAAGAGCUGUUCAAUCAAGAUUUCUUCCACUUAGGAGUAGAAGACAUGACUUCCAUGAUUUCCAAAAAGAAUGUCAAAUUCUGUCUUCCAGGAAAAGUGGUUUCUUUUUUAUUUUGCCUCAGUUAAUAGGCGUGGAUCCAGAGAAGAUGAAAGCAAUCCUGAAUCAACAGUCUCUUGCAAGGCAUGGCUUCCAUGAUUUCCAAAAAGAAGAACAUAUUUUGUAAGUGGACAGCUUUUCACCUCACUUUAGUUCAUCUUUCAUAGUCCUGAACUGGGAGAAGAUGAGAGUGUUGCUGAAUUAGGAGUGAUGUCCACUGAAUAGAAGAGGACAUGACUUCCAUGAUUUCCAAAAAGAAUGUCAAAAUAUGUCUUAGGAGAAAAGCAGACAGUGUUUCACUUCAAAAUGGUAAAAUUUUAAUGAAUAAACUGUACAGAUUACAGGGGGUCAGGUGGUUUAAGGGGCCCCUGCCACCCUGGACCAUUCAUUGGAGACACACCCCUGCUAGACAGUGAAAAUAACCCUGUUUGACUGGGUCUUUUAAGCUCUAACAGGGGUGUAUAAUGCCUUUAUUUUCAUCUCACGGCUUGAGAACGCCAGUCUUUCUUCUCCUACUUCACCGUGCGCACAGACUCCGAAAAAAAUAAAUGAAAACCCCACACAAGAGGAAGAAACCGGUGUUCAAAGUAAGAGCAGGAAAUAUGUUUACCAAAGCGCAACCCAAUUCAUAGUGACAGGGCACUGAGGAGAAGGUAACAGCGUGUGCUGCUGGAAAAGUUCAGAAGAUUUAAAAAGGUCCUUUUGUACCUUCAGUGAAUGUGAUUGAUGUCGGGCAGGCCCUGAGAAAGCAACCGGCUCAUCCAUUUUCUGUUUUCAGAGAAGGGGUGAUCAGGUUUUUCUUUUUUCUUUUAUUUUUUUUUCCAGGUUUUACUAUCCAGCGAUGUUGAAAAAAAGAUGCACAGGGUCUCCAGGGAGCUGGCAAUUUCAAUUUGCUCCGGGGAGGGCGUUCUUUGCAGACAACAAUAUACAAAUGCACUGCAGUGUAUUCCAGAGGACAUAAUGCCUGGGUAUCAUUCAAUCCUUCACUGCAUGUGUGCGGCUGAAGAUUGUGGAGGUCAGACUUGGAAUCGAUGCCUGGAUCAAUUCAGACUCUGCGUUUCAUUUAGCAGAAAUGCAGAGCUGCUCAUUGUCUGUUCGGUGGCCUUUUCUGAGGUGAUUUUUAAUCAUUGCAUUCGAGCCUUAUCAGCGGCUGAAGAGACAGGAAAUUAACUGCUUAGAAAAUAUUAGUCAACUUUGUCACGCUGCAUACAACUUAAUUGUGUUAUAAUCCCUCAAUGGUAUUUCACUUGUUGACACAAGACCAGCCAAUUAAUGCUAAAGUUAAACAAGCCCGGGGCAGUGUAAACAUGUACAGUUCUUUUAAGCUUUGCCACUGCUGUUAUCACUUGUGUACGUUUCGAGCGCGUGUGAGCUGCGGGGUCUUAAGUAUCGCCUGCAGAAAAGGGAAGGUGUUUCUGCCAAGACGGAAAUGAAUGUACAGUUGCAAAGAUUUCUGCCACCGUAGGAAACUCGCAUGUGCAUAAGCGAGCGUGUUUUUGAAUGUACAAAAGAUUUUAUUUUUCCCGCCAGGGCUUGCCAAGAAUUAAAACAACUUGAAAACGCUGGGAGCUUUGUUCUAAACGCGGCUGUGUUUAGACAGACAGCUGCAGUAAAGUGAAAAUAAGCAGCCUGCUUGUUCAUCUCAAGGAGACAACUAUGUUGGUGCAGUUUGUGUGCCAAGUCUGGUGAAAUAAAACAAUGGUAAAUACACAGUUUGUGGCAAUUUGUGAAAGUUAAGAGUCUUGAGAUGAUUAAAGAGGCAGGAAAAUAAUAAAGAAGUUGCUGCUACGGAGCACAAAUGCUGGGAAGGUUUCACCUGUAGCCACUGUGAGUAAAUAUUGUGUGUCAAAAAGUUGAGGAAGCACAUCCCACAUGUCUCUGUAAAGUAUUAAGCUUACCCGGCACUCAACAGCUCAAGUAAAUGGGAGGUGAGCAGGUGGACGUGCCAAAUACACAUGGUGAGAGAAGACCCCUAAGCUUUCUAAGUGAGUUGCUGCCGCAGGUGUUGAUGUUUUAGUCUUCAAAGGUCAACUUGAAGGUGGCUUCAGAGGCAAAGUAUGAAACCCAUUGACUUUUAAAGGAACAUUAACAUCUUAUUUCAUCAAUUUUUUAACUUAUAGCUUAGUUUCAAAAAGUAAGGAUGACUUGUAAAAGUUAAUAAAAUGUGAUGGUCUACAUGUUGUUUAAAACCCUUACUUUGAUUAAAAAAAAAAACUAGCACAGACAACAUAUCAAGUAGGUAUAGGUAUGAUCCUAUCCACUGUCUCUACUAGAAUAUUUUUCAGCAGCGGCGCUCCUAUGUCUGUUGGGAGGUUUGCUGUUACCCCUACUCUCUACACUCACAUUAUAGUACCUGCGCUACUUGCUACAUAGACUGUGUAUAAGCUUGAAUGUUACCCUUUAACAUUAGUGAAAGAGGGUCCGACAGGAUUUGACUCGCUCAUUGACGACUCAAAACAAGUCGUAAAUAACGUCAUGUGUUGUUGCGCUUACACAGUGCGAGUAGAAAUUAUUAGUGGCGCAUUGAAAUUAAUGCUACCAAUGCUAUUAAUGCUAUAUAGAGCGUGUAUAAGCUCGUUAACCUUCCACCUUAAGGGAAGAGGGGUCCGAUAGGAUUUGACGCGCUCGUUGACGACUGAAAACAAUUCGAAAAAAAAUGUCAAGUGUUGUUAUGCUAACACAGCGUGAGUAGGAAUCAUUAGUGGCGCAUUGAUAUUGAUGCAACUCGCUAUAUUGGGCAUGUAUAAGCUUGUUAACAUUCCGCCUUGAGGGAAGAGGGUGCGACAGGAUUUAACACGCUCAUUGACGACUCAAAACAUGUCGAAAAUAAUGUUGUUUGUUGUUAUGCUAACAAAGUGCGAGAAGAAAUUAUUAGUGGCGCAUUGAUAUUAAUGCUACGCAUGCUAUUGAUGCUACUCGCGAUAAAGAGCGUGUAUAAGCUUGUUAACCUCCCCCCUUAAGGGAAGAGGGUGCGACAGGAUUUGACGCGCUCAUUGACGACUCAAAACAUGUCUAAAAUAACGUGUGUUGUUGUGCUGGCUCAGUGCGAGUAGAAAUCAUUAACGGCGCACUGAUAUUAAUGGUCAUGUGAAAUUUCGGCAGUUGCGGCGCAAAGAAUUCCGCCGCUGCUGAAUAAAUGUAGGGAAAACACUGCUAUCAGAUUACAGAUAAUGGCUUUUGAGCUGUGCACAAACAAAGUGGGCGAUCUCUGUCGAGUGGAGUGUCCAUCAUUUCAAAGAUAACAUCAAUUACUUAUUUGUCAGACCACAGGUACAGCAGCAAAGUGUGUUCAUGCGCUGCUUUCCACUACAAAGUCAUGUCCAUUUUUGAUGUAAUGCCACCUACAAGCCUGGAAACCACCUUCUAGUUUCAGCCUCGAGCCUUUUGUACGGAAACUGGCCAUCUUGUAAUCAACGCAGUUUUCUUAUGCUCUCUGAAAAGUUGUUGGAAUCUAGUUAUUUUAUCCAAUACUAGUAUUUUUUUUCAAGCUGUUAAUAUUUAAACAAACACCUUACAGUACUAAGAUAACAUUUGGGCUCACAUUUCCCCUGUUCCCCAUAUUUUAUUCAUUACUUUGAUUUAUUGAACCCAAGGAAACUGAGUUUUUCCAAGAGAUCAAAGGAGCUUUAAAUCAUUUUUUUUAUCGUCUUUGAAAAUAUAUCCAAAGACGCCACGGCACAACUCAACCCCGUGAUUUGAUCCCUGUUUGUAUUCUGCACCGUCGUGGGCCGCAUCACCGGAAAUUGUGAGCACAAACAUCGGCGGUGGCGGCGGCGCUACAAAGAGGGGAAACAUCAAAGGCGGCUUCAAAAACACGACUCCACGGGAUGCGAGACAUUCCUUGUGACAAUUCACCCCUUAAUACCGAGCUCUUGAUGCAUGACCUACAGACGUGGCAAAGCCUUUCCGCAUGGGGGGCAUCAAAUGGAAAAGCAAAGGUCAAUAAUGGGCUUUUCGUGUUUGUGGAGGUAUACUGUAAAGAUGCAAACCUGCAGUUUGUGCAUACACUCCCAUAACGCACACAAACACAUUAAUACUCAUUUUCAGCAUGCGUAAAAGUCAAGAAAUAUCAAAUUAACCAUUCCACACCAAUAAGGAGAAUGGUGAAUGAUGAAGAAAGGGGUUCCGGAUCUUAAAUCCCCUUCAUGGGUGGCUUAACAAUCAACACACUCUGAAUGAAGGUGACAGCUGGAGUUAUAUUCUAGGAUUUUAUACGUUUAUACAGCGCCUUCUUUUUCCAUUUGACAAGUAAAUGUGCUCCCUCUGGAUGGGAACGCCAGAACCUAAACUAAUUUCCACAAUUUUCUAAAAAGGAUCAAAAAGAAAAACACUUAUAGUUUGCUUUCACUGCUGUUACCAUGGACACACUUGAAGAUUUGCUUAUUUUAUUUAUUGUGCAGUCGUUGAAGAGGCCUUUUAAAGUGUGUAUUCGCCCUAUAUAUCUUUUGUCAGUGCUGUUAUAUCAUCAAUCUGUUUUGCAACCCGUAAAACAGAAGAACAAUUAUCUCAGACUGAUGAACAAGCAGUUGAGCACAUUGUCUUUUGAUUUUCUUUCCCGUCGCCUUGCCACGGCUCCUCAGUUGGAAUAUUUCUUCUUCCACCGGUUCUUCAUUGAUCCGUCGAUUCCUUCAUCGGCUCGAGUGUGUUUCCCCAAGACAACACAGAGCUAAAGGACGCAUUUGACACCAUUACAGAGCCAAGGAGAGGUUGAUGCAUCAUGGCGGAGCGAGAAAUGCCAGCAGAGCUUCGCUUUUAUCCGCCGAAACCAGCUUGCACUGUUUUGGUUCUAUAAUUUUCACUCUUUAUCACGUAGUUUUCGGCCUUUUCAGUCAUGGUGGAUUAAGAUUCACAAUUUCUGGCUCAGAUCAGGCCCUCAUAACUAUUCCGGUGACCCUUUUUUUAAUCCUGAGAAGUGCUAUGGAUUUAUAACCCAUUGUGUGUUGUCUCUCUGUCUCAAUUGAAUCCCUCGAUGCACGGCCUUGGACACCUUCUGCAGCAAAUGCAGCAUACAGCAGAUACAAAUGCAGGAAAAUUCAUGAAAACACAUAUUUUCUUUUCACUGUCACUCUCAUUAAUGUGUCUAGUUGAGUGACAGCGAGGGGAGGCGGGUUAGAUGAUUGAUCAGCCUCGGUGGAAACAAACUCCAGCUAAUUGGGGUUUUCCAAGCUUGUCACAAAACGUUAAUCUUCUCCUUGUUUAACUGUUUUUAAGAUACAUACUGUCUGUGCAGCACUUUUACAGCAAUAACCAGAAAAGAGACUCACAUUUAUUUCCUCCACAGCACCAGAGAAGGUCACAUUGACAUGCACCUCUUCAAAUAUUUAACUAUAUAACUCUUAGCGCUGCCAAAACCUCUUCAUGACACCGUUUAGAGUAUUACCAGGCUGCAUUUAUUCUUAUUACAACAGCAGAAGUAGUUUCUGAAUAGAGAGCACCACCAGGGUCGAAGAACAAUACAGCAGCUUGAGGGAAUGAAAAAGGAAGUCUGCUAAUUUCAUAAUAGGUCUGCGGGAUCAGCACCUUGGACAGCACCACACAAUCCCAACAUUUCUGUGACUCUAUGUGGAAAUUAUUUUUGGAAAUCCUGGACAUGGUGUUAAAAAGAGUCGGUGCACAGGAUCCAAAAAAAGCACAGGCAAGAGGCUAAGUCAAGCAGUACUGAAAUGAGGUCAACACAAUCGCCAUGUUUACAUGGGCAAAAUUUCUUGAUCCAAUUAAAAAUUUGAGGCAUCAGAUAAUCUGAAUCCACUGUUUAUAUGGGUGCAAAAUCAAAUAAUCCGAUCAUGACGUACAACAAACACAGUAGUGUCUCACUUCAUCCAAAUCAGGAUUUUUCCCUAGUAAAUGUUGUCACUAGAUGGCGCCCUUGUGUACUUAUUCUACUGUUCUGUCAAAGGUUGCGCUGUACGUGCAGAUGUGACAUGAUUACGCUGUAUGUACGCCUUGUUACGUUACCGGAGGAGAAGACAUGUUUCCUGCGGUUGUGUUUUAUGCCAGAGUGUUAAUAAUGAAACCUCUAGUACUGACCUCAAUAAAUAAACCAAAGGUUAAAGAGUGAAGAUCAAGUCAGGUAAGAGAGUCACGAUCGGAAUAAGUGUUUACAUGGACGCGUUUCGGAAUAAUGAUCGGUUAUUCCGAACAGGCCUUUAUUCCGAUUAUUUGUGCCCAUGUAAACGCAGCUACUGAGGCAAACAAUAGGAAUAAAUGCUGGAACUCUGACGCUAAGGACAAGACGAACUGGCACAGAGGGGAGGCAAAGCUGGGUUUAAAUACACCAGGGUAGUAGAGUUAACGAGACACAGGUGAGACUAAUCAGGGUAAUCAGGGGAGCAGGUGACAAGGAGGAGGAAGUCAAUGAACCUGAAAGAAGUGACAAGGCUGAGUAUCAAAAUAAAACAGGAAAUACAAGAUAAGAAAUAUGAGGGAUGACAAAAAAAAACAAAAAAAAACUAAAGGGAUAUUCUGGUGUAAAAUUAAGUUCAGGUCAAACACACCGUAACACCAAUCUGAGCACCAAACAGAUUAAAGUUGUGUACCACUCGUGUAUUUAUGAGGAUUGUGGCACUGGACAUGUACAGAAGUGUUGCUGUCACAUCUCCUGGUUGGUUUAAGGGAUACUCCAGCGCAAAAUUAAGUUAGGGUCAAACACACCAUAACGUCGAUUUAGACACCCCCUCGAGAGAAGAAUGUUGCUGACCGCUUGCUUCUCUAUUUAUACCAACUUUAGUAACGACCGCAGAAGGCAAUACGGAGAGCCAUGUGCUCAACCAAAACGCCACUCUAUAGCCACAAAUAAUCUUCGGAACAGCACCUAACUUCAUCAACAGUACAUAUAGGGCCCCUGCCAUAGAACUAGCUACCAAACAUCUUUUUAACUUUGCCUAAUUUCUUUUGCAAAGUGACUAAAAUCAAUACUCCGAUCAAUAGAUAUCUGUAGUAAGAUGGUGCAGAUGUUUUAUCAUGGAGUAAUGAUCAUAAAUGUUCUUCCUUGAGCUGCGUAACCCCACUGUAGUCGAUGGACUCGCCCCUACAAACAAGUGGCUGCUGGAAGAGAGUAGGUGAGUCUCUUUGGUAAAGAAAUCAGGCAAAGCUAAAAAGAUUUUUGGUGGCUAGUGCUGUGGCUGGGACCCUAUAUGUCCUGUUGAUGAAGUUAGGUGCUGUUCUGAGCAUUAUUUGUGUCUAUAGAGUGGUGUUUUGGUUGAGCGCGUGGCUCUCUGUAUUACUAUUGUGCGGUCAUUCAACACACAAGUGGUACACAACUUUAAGCUGUUUGGUGCUCAGAUUGGUAUUUUUGUGUUGCAGUCGCUGCCUUCCUCAGGUGCCCCAGUGCUGACCCCCACUUUUGCUAACACCACCUCAGCCUUGUCUUGUCUGACUGCUAAAUUCGACUAACUCUUUUAAACGCAUUUUAGUGCCAGCUCAGUGCUUUAAUUUGACUGAUUCCCACCCUGAUAGAUUUAGGAGUGGGCUGGUUGAACAGUUUAAUGACCUCUACAUUAAGAGCGUACUUACCAAGAGGACACAUCCAUUCCGAUACCCUGCGCCAUCAAUUCAUUAACUCCCUCUGCAAUAUUUACACACAUCAUUUGUGUACAGAGCAAGCAAAAAAUGGAAGAAGGAAAAAAAAAAAGAAAAAAAAAAUCAGCUAUUCACAGCUGCGGGUGAGGCUGAUGGAUGAGGUUUGCCUCCGCGAGGGCGCGAAAGCACUCGGAGGCCUGCAGUGUGUGAUUUAACUGCGAGCAAGGGAAUGGAUUUCAGCCGCUCUGUAAUGGGGGGGCUGGGUGUAAGGAAAGGAUGACUUGGCUGGAGAUGAGAGUCAUGCACCCGUAAUGGAUGCCAACAGAGGGGGUAAUCAUCGCAGACACAGGAAUUAGUCCCAUCAGCGCUGGGAGACUGUAAAAUAUGUCAAACGCCGCAUAAUAAGUCAAGAAUUCCUCCAUUUUUACAAUCUCAGGGAGGGAUUUGAGCUUCAGAAGGAAGAUGUAGAAGGAGAAAUCCCAAAAUAGCUUCUGUUUGCUUUUUUGGUGUGCACCCUGUAGAUACUCAGUGAAAUAUAGGGAGUACACAAUGUGGCCAAUUACGCAGGCCUCUUGCUGAUAGUCGAAGCAUACAACAACAUCAAAUACAAGUUUUUGACAGAGUAUCACUCGGGACCGACUGUAUCAGUGCGCAUACAACCGCUAAUAGAGUUUUCAUUCAGACAGAAAUUUACCGUUCAUGUUUAGAUCGUAAACAGCUCCGUUAGCAUUUAGGUUACAAAUGAAUCCUUUCUUUUUUUGUGGCGUAUUCAAACAGCAGGCCAAUUAAAGUGAGAAGGUCACUGCCAGAGAGAAAAAGAGAGAAAUAUUACAAGAAAAGUAUCUCCUCCAACGUUUUUUUUCCCUGCAGUUUUCUUGUCUCCUCAGCUGGCUUAUUUCAACAAUGGGGAACCUGUCAGUCACUCGCUGAAAGGACAUCAAUGUGCUUGACUAGCCUGCUCAUCAGUGCGGCAGCACAGGGUGAAAUAUUCAUCAGGGGUCCUCGCACACAUUGAGAAAGCGGGAAGAAUCCCCCAGAUCAAAUUCUUAUUAGCAUACCGAGCCUAAAGAUAAUAUCUGUAAGAGUAUGAGCUUAAUUAUGAGUCGGACUUGUAUGACCAUUCACAGUCGGAAAGGUUUCCAACUGUAGCUCGAAACAGUCUGACUAAUUAAUGUCAGUUAAAUGAGGUCCGGCGUAGUUUUUUGAAAGGUAAUUAUAUCGUUUUACGAUUCACUGACCAUUUGUCACCGCUGAGUAUAAAUUAGGGUCUCGUCUGCCUAAUUGUGCCUCAGCGUAUUGGGCCGAACACAAAGAGAUGAAAGGAAGGUUCGAAGUUUCAGACGUAAAGGCUAAAGAGGAUAUGCCCGGGGGAAAAAGUAGCGAGUUGAAAGCAAAAGUUUAACAGCGAGCCUGUUAGAGCAAACCACGCCACACUCUGAGGUUUGAGAAACAGCGAGGCCGACGCCGUCUACUGUAAAGACCAGAAUGUGUGUCACACCAAUAAUCAUCAGUUUCUGGUCUUUUCAUCAUGAAGCUGUGAAAACGUCUGAUCCUGGAGGAUUAGACGGAUUUUCUCAGGAUAACGUCAGACUGCUUUGAUGUUAAUAAAGGAGCAGUACAAAGUUUAAGUUGUACGACUGAUCCUUUCACCUCUGUGAUGUUUAAGAAAACAGAUUUUAGCUUCUGUGUUUGGUUUUAUGAAUUUCCAAGAUUUAUCCCGAUAUUUAAUAAUCUGUCUGGAAACUCAAAUUGGUCGCCAAAUAAAACCAAACUCAUGGUAUUUUCGAGCAAGGGUGAGUUACCUGGGAACAGUCCCUCUGUUCUAACUUUGCAGGGUGUACUCAUUGAGCUUGUAUCUGUGUAUAAAUAUCUGGGUUUUCUUGCACAUAUUGCUAGUUUGGCCACUAAACUCAGAUUAAAACUUGGUUUCGACUACAUGAAUAAACCUGCUUCUCCCUCAGUGCUCAAAAAUACCUUGUAUCUGCUACCUUUCUUCCACUGUUGGAUUAUGGUGAUGUUUUAUAUAUGACUGCUUCAGCCAAAUGCCUGCAGUCCUUAACAACUGUCUAUCACUGUGCGCUGAGAUUCCUCACCGGUUGUAGUCACCUAACACAUCACUGCGAACUUUAUGCCAAGUCUGGCUGGCCUUUGCUGAGUACUCGCGGGUACACUCACUGGAUGACUCUAAUUUCUAAGGUUCUUCUUGGCUUAGCUCCUUCUUUGAUCUUCUUCAAAGGACUGAAAGACAUUACACCCUGCGCUCAAACAACACUAUCCAUUUGAUUGUUCAGCAAAUAAGAACUGAACUGGGCAAAAAAGUGUACUCUUCAGUACGUACUUAAACUAUAAUCCAUAAACGUAAGGUAACAACCAAGACCUAAUGGUGCUGUGACAGCAACGCCAUUGAGUUUGAGACAGUGAAAAUACAUAUGGUAUGUUGUAUCUGAACAGGUUAGCUUACAAGCUAAAGUUACUUAGCACAGAUGAAAGUUAAAACAAAGACGUUUAGCAAACUGUUAAAGCACACGAACCAUCAUCAUAUGAGAAAUCCGACACUAUGAUUCUCCACAAGUUGUCCUUCAGGUCGUAAUCUUUGUAAUAUUUGUGUCUUUUAUCAAAAAGCACUCUGUUCUCCGACACGUUAACAAUCAGCCAGUCAGCCAUGUUGGAUAUACCUGUGAAUCUGACGUCACAACAACACGAAAUCUGAUUGGUCAGAAGUGGACACACAGUAUGUGAAACUUCAGAAAAAUCGAAAUAAAUGCUGCAAUAUCACAGGAUGGGAAAACGUCACUGAUGUGAACGCUUGUAUUGACAGGAUACAGGUUCGAAAAAAAAUUAUUGACGUUCGAAAUAAUCACAAGAAGAAAACGGUCCCGGUGUGGCAGGAGCUUUAAUUUCGCUGGAAGCCUUUCGUUCAAUCUUACAUGACAGACUCGGGGAGACCAUGGGACAGUGCUUGUGUUUUUAAUUAUGUUUCUGGAGGUCAUUUUCUUCUUUGUUAUUAUUUAUCAUUGUGAUGUGUGCUGCCGACCUCUUGGCCAGGUCACUCUUGUAAAUGAGAUCUCGAUCUCAACCUGGUUAAAUAAAAAAGAGAAUAAAAAAGCUCCUGUAAAGGAACUUUUGGCACGAAACAGUCUUUGCCUAUAAAAGUGUCUAAUGUGAAACUGAUUAAAUCAAGACUGUCUCUUUACCCAGCUUAUGCAGUCCAAGUUUUCUUUUGUACAAACUUGUACAGAGUGGAUCAGAUCCCAGGUUUCCUGUUAUAGACUGGUUCCACUCGGUGGUUUCCCGGAAUGAGAAUUUCCUCCAUGGCAGGCGAGGUGGCUGCCGGCUGCCACCUCCACUGCCGGAAGAUGGGACAGCCUUUCACCUCAAGUCGUGCUAGGCUGGGUGCCCAUCAGCCCGGUGUCAAACCCCCAUUACUGUCUGAGUAUCAGCUGUCGGGGUGUCAAAAGGACUGAGAGGAGGAGCCACUCACUGCCGUGCUCUCACACUUUUGUUCUACUUCUUUUUCAUUUAUCUAGUCUUCCUCCCUGCCGGUGCCUGAUUUUUAAAGAUUGAAGGUCUUUGUGCUUCCUUGACAGUGACUGCCACUGGAUCACAUCACAUCCCUUUUACUUGAACUGUCUCCGAGGUGGAGUAAUAGAAACUCUGGAAACUUAAUGUUACAGCCGAGUGAGCUUUCUCCAACGGAAACUUAGGACUUUUUCCCAGCAAGAAAAGACAUAGUAUGGUUUAAAAAGUACUCUGAAUAUCAAUUUCUUCUUUAAAAGGCAAUUUCUCUUUGUAAAUAACUUUUUCUGUAGUGUAGACUGCUGUGCACUCGUGCGCCCUGUUGUCUAGUCCACUCACUCUACACCACGGACCCCGACGGGGAAAAGCUUAAUUACCAUUUGAUGAGUUUGAGAACAAAAGCUGCUGCGUUACAAGUUGAAAAUUGGUUAUCGGCUUCUUGUGCUGUUGCUAUAAUUUGGUCUUGGCUGUGUUCAAUGUUUCAGUCUAAAUUGUUCUGUCACUGGAGGUUAUGGGGGGGAAGGAAGAGGAGACCUCUGCAGAGACUGGAGGCCUCUAAUUAUUUCAUUCCUUUACAGCAGUGAAAUUCUCGAGUCGAGCAAGCUUGACAAGAGAACGGGGAAUAUGGCCUGAAUUACUAUCAGCUUAAGGAAAAGGCUGGUGUGUUAGUUAUCCGAGCAAAACAUCCAGUUUACAAGUGAUUAAAAAAACAAAUUACGGGUUAAACUGGGGAAUCCACACGGCUACCAGUUAAAGGAAAUACUCUCCAUUAAGGAAAGGAGUAAGUUAUGUACAUGUAGUGGAUAUACAGCCAAACAAUUAAUGUCACACUUCAGGAGGAGCUGCGUAUAAGACAUACACAUUUUCUUUUCGUUAGAGAAGAGGAACAGGGCUUCUGCAUAAAAGUAGUAAAUCAAGAAGAUUCUUUUUUUAACUGUUUUCAUUGUUUUAUUUUUGAGAGAUAAAAGUCACAAUUCUUGGUCUUAUCUCUCUGAAUUCAGCCUUGAAACUCUUCAGUGAAUAAAGUCACAAUUCUGGUUAAUCAAAAUAUGAUUAAAUUGAAUUCAAUUCAAAUUUUUUCCCCCCAAAAAACAAGUCAAGAUAUUGUCUGAAAACUCACAAUUCUGUUUUAAAAUUCAACAUUUGUGAAAUAAAAAAAUAAUAAUAAUUUUGCAUUUUACUCAGAAUUCUAAUUUGAAUGAAACAUUUUGAGCAAAGUUUGUAAUUUGACUGAUUUCAGUAUAUAAAACUGGAGUUCAAAAUCUUAAGAACAACUUUUUAUUUUUUUCAGUUAUUUCUUUUUUUUUUUUCUUUAAACUUUUUUACAGUUUUAUUUUUGAAAGAUAAAAGUCUCAAUUCUUGGUCUUUUCUCUGGUCAAUCAAACUAUGAUCAAAUUCAGAGUUUUUUUUUAUUUCCAAAAAAAACCUCAACUCGAAAUACUUUGAAGAAAGUCAAAAAUCAAAUUUGGAAAUUAGAAUUGGAAUUUGAAUACAAACAUUUUAAGAAAAGUUUGUAUUUUGACUCAUUUCAGUAGAAACAAUGUAGUUAAAUAUCUAGAGAACAAAUUUUUUUUUGUCAUGUAUUUAUUUAUUUUUUCAACUUUUUUACAGUUUUAGUUUUGAGAGAUGAAAGUCUCAAUUCUUGGUCUUAUCUCUCUGAAUUUAGACUUUAGACUCUUCAGUAGAUAAAGUCACAACGCAAUUCUGGUCAAUCAAAAUAUGAUCAAAUUCAGAUUUUUUUUUUUUUCCCAAAGAAAAAAUUGGACUCAAAAUACUGUGAAAAAAAUUAAUUUUGGAACUUAGAAUUGUGAAUUCAAUCCUUAAGUUUUGAGAAAAAUAUCACAAUUCUAAUCAAGUUAAAAUUUUGUCUAAAAACUCACUGUUCUGGUUUCAAAUUCAAAAUUUCUGAAAAAACAAAACAAAAAAAGAAAAAAAGGCUGGGGACGGAUCCAACAGUGAAAUCAUAAUAACAGCACUGUAGGCUGGAAAACAUGUAGUAUAGGCAAAAGGAGUCAAUAUGAGACUGUCAGAGUCCUCAAGCACAUGUGCAAAACAUUAAUUUACAGAUUAUGGCACUAAAGCUUGUCACUUAAUUCACUCAUACCAAUUUAGAGUUGACAUAACGAAGAUUGAACAUUGUGUUUCCAGUUGUUACCAGCUGCAUCUUAUGUGCAGCUUGGCUUUAAAUUCCUAUACUUAGAAAUGCUUUUACUGCAUGUCAACGCUUAAGGUCAGCCUCUCUUGAGUAAAAUGAAAAAUAAAAUCAAAGAACCUCAAACACACGGCUUUGAGUCGAGCAAAAAAGAACUAAGCCUUCAGCAAUUUUCACAGCCUACCACACUUCUAUUCUUAAACUUGCCAUUUCCCCGCUUCCGCCAAGAGCUCCCACCUCAGACAGCAACCCUGCUGUUUGACGCUAACAAAAGCUGAGAGAUGCCAGGUGUGAUGACAUGAUAACCACAGUCCAGGUCAGGCUGCUCUGAAAAUUUUUUCAAGGGUCACAAAUUAAAUUUAGACCCUCCUGGCUAUUGAGGAUGUGGGCUCCCACUGUGCAAACAGACUUAACUGUGACUGUCAUGUAGAUGUUCCCAAAGCCCUGUUCUUGUCACCCUUUCAUGAGAAGUUGAGACACCACAGCCACGAGGCCACUCCAUCAUCAGCUCAGGAUUUUUUACAGCAGAGGCAGACUGAAGCUCUGUGAUCUGCUUAAAGAGAGUUAUACUUUAGGUUUUUUAAAAUAAAUGAAUGCUCUUAAAACUGUAUAGUAGUGAGAUUCAGAGCCAGGGGCGGAUCCAAGGGGUGCCCAUAGCUCUGCUGAAAUCAGUUCGGCCACCUUUCGGCCACCACAAAACAACAGUUCUGUGGGUAGUUUUGGCCAAAUCAGCAUGUAAGCACACUUUUUUUUUAAACUUUUGUUGCCAUUUUCUUGCAGCUCUCUUGCAUUGAUACUUACAGUGGUGCAAAUAAGUCACGAAGGAAGUUACUGAUGCAAAAAAAAAAGAAAAAGAAAGAAACCGAAGCCUGCUGCAAAUAAAAACAGAAACUGUGCAGAUACAAAAGCCACAAUGGAAGUUAAGGAUGCGAAAAAAAAAUCAGUAACUUUCGUUGUGGCCUUUUUUAAAAUUUGCAUCCUUUUUUUUUCGCAGUAACUUUUUUUUUUGUUUUUUGUUUUCAUCACCACUUUUUUUGCGUCAUUGACUUCCAUUGGGUUUUUUUUAUUAUUUUUUGUUUCAUCCAUACUGUUACUUUUUUUAUUUGCAGCAGGCUUUGGUUUCUUUUUUUUCUUUUUUUUUGUAUCAGUAACUUCCAUCGUGGCUUUUUUUUAUUUGCAUCCUUUUUUUUCGCAGCAAGUAACUUUUUUUUUUGCAUCACCACUUUUUUGUGUGUCAUUAACUUCAGUUGUUUUUUUUUGUUGUUUUUUUUAACUGUACCAUUUUUUGUUUUUUAUUUGCAGCGGGCUUCGUUUUCUUUCUUUUUUUAAUGCAUCAGUAACUACCAUUGUGGUUUCUUUCUUUGCUUUUUUUUUUUUUUCAUUUUUUUAUUUGCAGCAGUGGCGGUUCUUGGCCACCAUAGAUACUUGAUCUGAACUUUUUGAUUUUGAUUGGAGCGCGGAGGGCAGCAAAGACCCCAAACAGAGAAGCAACAGUGAUGAUUCAUACAUUACUAUUGAAAUUAAAACUUGGCAUUGGUAUCAAGUUAUAUACUUGGCCAAGCUUGACUUUGUGGCCUGCCUGAACUAACACUAAGUUUAUAUUAUGCUGCUAAUAUACAUAAUAAAACCUAACUUCCCAUUCAAAUGACAGAGUGUGCUUCGUUUAAUGCAGGCACUGAACCUCAGUCUUGUGUUGAAAGUUAGUCCAACCCUUUUAUUUAAAGUUGAGGAAUGAUUUGGCAAUUUUACAAACAAUAAACUCACAAACUAUAAAGCGUGAAAUAGAAGGAAAUAAACUUCUCCCCUCUCUCUAAUAUAGCCUCAUUCUUUUGUGCACACUGCUGAAAAGCUUGAAAACCUUCUCCUCUCUUUGCCCUGCCAGCAGUUAGCCCCGGACAAGAAACUACUCUUCGCAUCAUCAGUCAUCAGGUAUUGAGCGUAAAAAUUCAUUGAGAUGCAGUAAGCUGCGAUAGCAACACCACAAUGGCAGCUGGAAGGGAAAGCUUACCAGUCAGUUUAUCUAAAUGAGAUUUUUAUUGAUUUUAAUGCUCCCUCCGGUUGUGUCAUCACACUGAAUCUGAGCUGCCUAGACUUUGAAUAAUGAAAGCUAAAAUACUGUGGACAUGAUGCAACUGGCGUUUUCCUUGUGAACAACCAAUUCGAGGGAUCAGGACUCUUCAGUUUGAGGUUUAAGGCGAUGUGUGGACACGUGUUUUAUAUGUCUUUGUAUUUUUGUUAGGAUUGCCUCUAUGAAUUGAACAACGGCUUUGUGUUAUCUCCUCACACUGCAGCUGGUGAGCACCAUCCCUUCAAACGUCUACCACUUUUCACUGGUAAUGAAAAGGUCACCCGAGCCGCAGUCACUAAUAAUGUUAGAUCGGCCAAAGUGAGCUUGAACACGGCUGGCAGAAUCAAAUCAUUCGAUCAUGAGAACUCUCGUGUCCAAGAACGUCCCCCGGCACUGUGUAGGUUGCGAGAGCUGCAGGCUAUAUGUCCUUCAGUUCACUCUGAGGAUUAUUGAAGUGAUUUUUCUAGCUGGUGGGAAGCACUAUCUGUACAGUACAUUUAGUGUAAAGGUGGUGAAGGUUGCCUCUGUCCAUCAGCUGCACAGUAAAACAUACACUUUGUCCUGAAGGUACAAGGAUUGCAACAUGUUGUCAGGCAUCUAAAUUCAACCUUUUUCUCCCAUUUGCAGUUCACAUUCAGCCUAACUAUGCAUGUGUCCAGGGCAGUGUUGUGCCCGAACACGUUCAAUGAGUGAUCAUUUAUGAACUCAUCCAUAGUUCAGGCAAACGUGAACGUAUUGUUCUUAAUAGGGCCCGACCGAUUUAUCUGCGAGCCAAUCAAAUCGGCCGAUUUAAGCCCGUUUGAGAUUGAUUAGUAAUCAGCCAAAACUCGCAGAUUUUCGCUAAUAUUUUCAGAAAUAAAAUGCAUAGAUUAAGAUCCGGUUUCACUUUGAAAAUGUUCCGCCAUUUGAAAAGUUCCCCGACUUAUCCUGUAGAUGGCGCAGCGACCUCAUGACAAUCUUCAUUCACUAACUACCUCACAGCACAGUGAAGUGACGGAUCUGAAGCAGGCAGCUCAGGGACACACAGAGGAGAGUGGUCAGCCUCAACGGUAAAUAAACCAGUUUGUGAAAUACACAAUAAGUCAACAAGUUUCAGUUCAACCCACUUCACGAUGUUCCCCGCUGUGCUGGUCUCGGUCACGCCGAGUUAACGGUGAAGCACCAUGUAAUAUGCAAGCUAAAGUUUACGUUAGCCAUCUGCUAUUAGCCUUGCUACACUGUUAGCCGUGCCAGUAACGGUAGAAUAAACAACAGUACACAUUACGUGAUCGAGCUACUUCUCUUACUGAGGCAGCUGCAUGUCUCCAGAUGAGACCGGACCGGAAAUAAGUAUCGUGAGUUAAGACGCAAGGGCACCGAUCGGCGGCGGAGGUGGGGGCGGGGUAGUCGAAAGCGCUUUUCUGGUCCGAGUUUCAUCAGUCGGUCUUCCUGUCGGCGUGAAGUGCAGUAGCCUACAGUAUAUCUACAGUAUAUAAAUAUAUUUUUUACAACUUCUUAAAAAAUCUAAAAAAAAAUUAGUGAAUUAAUCAGUAAUCGGAUGCAAAUUAUCAUCUACAUUAUAACAUAUAAAAAUUAAAAUCUAAUUGGCAGAGAUCUUUAGUUCCUGCAUUAAAAAUAGGCGGCGUGACUCUGUAGUAGAAGUCACUGCAUUGCCUCAAAAACUGUCUCUGAACACAGUUUGUUGUUGCAUGGUUCAUAAAUGCUGGCAGAUUUCUCAGACCAAGCCUCUUUAGGAUGGAUUGAGUGUAAGGUUCAGGUUUUGGGGUGACUAGUGUAGUAAUGCCAUUUUCAGGGGAGAUCUAUUAUUUAAGUAAGACAACGCCAAGAGACAAUCGAAGAGUUCGGGCCAAUAAGUGGCGGAAUUGUAAUCUACUUGCCUGCUUUUAUAGGUCAAGAUGGAAGAGAAACAUCAGCUAUGGCACACUGCCUGGUACCCAGUGGGUUCUAGGGAAAGGUCAAGCACCCCUGGGAAUGCACGGUUUGCCAUCAGUCUUGCUCCUUCACUUGACACCUCUGCUUUAAGGCUUGGUUGCAAAUCUGACCAACACCCAAAGAUACUGCAUAAGCACAAAUACUGGGAUAUAGCUCCUCUGCAUGCAAAACCACACUCUUAAGAGAAAUCUAAAUGAGGAAUAUCCACGUUCAUGUAUCUUUAAACUGGAACAUUUUCUGUCCAGAAUGCCCACUUGGGUUUUUCUAUGAAAUACCACUCAGGCCUGAGCUUCUGUGGGCACUGUCAGCUGGUUUUAAUGUUUUACAACGAUGUUUCAUUAGUAAAAGGAAAACUUUCUUUGUAUCUGCAAUGCAUGCAUAAAUAUUUCUUCACUAUGCAGAGCAGGGAGGAAAAAACCACCCUGUAAAACAGUUAUAUCUGCUUGUAAUUUAUGUCCUAUUAUUGUGCAGUGUACUGUCCAGAACAAAUUUCUCUAAAAGUGCAUUUAUUCUCCUCGCUACAAGAUUAGCAUGUGCAGCGUUCUGGCAAGAUUAUAAAUUCAAAUGUCACACUUUGCAUGUUGUAGUUUAAUUCUAAAUCAAAUUAAGGCUAUUUAAAUCAGAGUCACAUGCAUAAUAAUGAUGCUGUCUCAUAUUUUAGACUCAAUUAAAACAAACAAGAGGGGACCACAGAGAAAGCCAUAAAUAUUGCAGUUUGUACUCACGCAAUUGCAUCACUCUCUUCAUCCCCUUUCUUGCAUACAUAUCCGCUGCAUGACAUGUAGCACUUGUCCAUAUGGUAAAUAUACAACUUGAUCAUUGCGAGCGCAGCUGUGGGUUCAUCAUAAGUGACACGCACCCUGCUAUUAGAGUCUAAGGGCUCCUAAGAUGGUGGGGAGUCUUUUAGCACUUGAAUACUCACUUCACAGCCAAACAUGUCGCUGAAAGGGUGCUUUAGUCCCCACCGACACGCUUUGAGUGCACAACUCUAAUUAAGCUUUGGCAUAGCUGUGAUUUAAUUACAGUUAAUGUUGUUCUGAGUGUGACGACCAGAUCUUCUGUCCUUUAUUGUAGGUUGGCAUUUUAAUAGCAGGUGGUCACAUGCUUAUACGUAGAUAUGGUUUGUUGUCAGCUAAUGUGCUUUUCAUUAAUCAUAUGAAUACAUAUUAAGAGAGAUGAAUUAUUUAAUGAUGUGACAAAAGUGAACCAAAGGGCUGGGGAAAAUCAAGCAAAUUUGCACAGAGCAGAUAAUUAUUUUAAUUGAGUUAUGAAGGGUAUUUAUUAAUAUAACUAUUGUUAUUUUAAUUUACGUGAUUCACCACAUGUGCAGAGGUUAUAGUCCUCCAAUUCAGCGUGAUUCCCACCCUGAAAAUCAUCCUCUGUGCUCAUGAAGAUAUAAUAAGGAUUUGUCAUAUGAGCUUGAAUGCAUGAUCUAUGGCUCCACAUGCUGUUAUUAACACUAUCUGGAGAUGAGGCCCCCCAAGUGUGACCAUUAUAAUUUAUUGUCGACUGUAGGGCUGUUGCAGUUUACUGGUGUUGACAAGCAGCAGACUGCCUGUGAACAAGAUCGAAGCAGCUCUCAAAGAGAUGACUCAGCGCUUUCUAAAAAAAAAAAAAAACGGAAACGUCAUGAUUUGUUGUAAAUGUCACAUUUCAGCAUGUGCCUGUUCAUGUGAGGAAUAUGAACUAUCGAACCAUUCUUUUAACUGUUUCCAGUUCGGUCAUGAUCUGUCUUAACCAGUUUAUACUUCAAAAUAAAAGCCCAGUUUUACAGCGCAACAAAUAAAGCAAACAAGAUUGAGAAUUUUCAAAAUAAAAGCUUGCCAAACAAUUAUUUCAUGAGAUAAUAUCUACUUAAAAUAAGUUUCAGAUUUUAAAAUUAAGCGAUUUUAGACAUGAUAAAAAUUCAAUAAUAACAUGGUAAUUAAGUGUGAGUAAACUGACUGCCAUUGUUUGGCUUUAAAAAUCAAUGGAGCUAGCUCAGUGAUGAAAGAAUAUCCUCAUUUAAAGUCAAGCUCAUCUUCAGGAUUUGAAUUGCAGAUGUGAUAAAUAACCAUGCCUGCAAAAACGACUUUAAUUGAUUUCACGCCAUGUAGAAUAACACAGCUAAACACCGUCCUUGGCAUGCCCACCCGUCAUGUUUUUAGCAUGUUCACUCCCCCCUAAUUCCCCUCGUGGGAUUAGCCAUGUGUGUGUUAGCGCACGCCCAGGACUUUCACUAAGACAAUAGGAAUAAAAUUACAGGCAAUUUAUUCACUCUGACACAGAUCAAACAAGGAAUGUGAAGUACUUCAGUGGAUAAUAUCAUCAAGUUGGGGUUGUCCUUGCGAAGGGAUAAACAAUUAAAUUAGCCCCUUGGUGCUUGUUAAGUUUACAAUUUCAUUCUGUGGCUGAAAGGAGAAUUAGGUAUUCAAGACAUGCACCAGAGUCGAAAACACAUCGGAGAGAGAGUCUCUGCCCGAAGCACACUGACAAAAACAGUCUGCUCGGUUGAUAUUUAGCUCUAUCUCGACUUUGAUAAGAUCCAAGCCUUCUUAUCCAGUUAUGUAAGGACAAUUUCCAAGAACUUGAAAGUGUGUUUUAUCAAUAAUUCUACACUGAUUCAGUCAGGAAUCUAUUUUAAACUAGAUCCAACAUGAGAUAGUGGAGUGUUAUCAUGCUUUGGUCACAUUAGUUUUUGCGUAUGUGCCCUCUUUAAAUCAGAUUUUCAGUUCUGUUUUAUAUUACUUAGUAUCUUUUGAUUUGACGUUUGGAUUAUUUGGCAGCUUUGGCAUUAUCAGAGAGCCAGAAUGUUAUCUUUUACCAAUUUAAAUCAAGUAGACAGAUGUGAUUCUUAGUCUUUGGUGCAGAUUUUAAACUAUUAAAGGCAAAAAGUCGGUAAUGGACCAUUCAAGGAAAUCCGGGGUUAGGUUUUGGACAUGUUUGACACAUUAAAUUGCAAAAAAAUACAACAUAAAAAUCAUGUUUCUUGUAGAAUAUCUGCUCAGUAUCUCCAACCAGAACAACCCACUACACAUGGGAAUAUUUUGGUAUUGCUCCCUUUCUCAUGCUGUUUCAGAAGACGUCAUGUACACAAAUAACUAACAGGAAACGAUGUAUGUAUGUCAACCAGAGUAAUUCCCAAUAAUCUUUGUCAUCCUUUUUGUCAGUGCAAUGUUUGACAUUUGAAAACUGCAGUAAUGGGCACCAAAGCUCGAGGGAACAGACUGAAAACAUAAAAAAGCAGAUUUAAUACAGGAUACAAUCUAAUUGCCUGAGUUGCCUUAGGGGGAUGUCAAGGUUGCAUGUAGCUGCUUUGACAAAAACCCCAAAACAUCAGCGUGUGUUCUUGUCAUACAUCCAUGAAUUGGGUGUAUGAAUGAAAAGCUGGGCAGGGGGAAGGAAUCACCACGAGACCUCUCCACAGUAUGGACGGUAGACACCUGGUAAAGCCAGGUGUCCACGAACCAGCAGCUGGGAUGAAGCAGGAUGUGAGCCAGGUAGUGGCUGCAGGGUUUAGUUUAAGUACAGGAUGAACAUAUGAUAGCAAGCCUUGUUAGGGAUCAGAUUGUAGUGAAAUGGAGGCGCACAGGUGUUUGGAUAUGUGACUGCUAACAUGCAAAUAACAACCGACAAACUGCAAUUUACUUUUCGGUUUUUCUUUGCUCGUGUUUUAAAGUUUCAUACAAAAAAUCAUCAAUCUUGUCGCUGAUGUUCCUGUUUGUUUCUGUUUAUCAUGUAAAGGCAUCGAUAUGAAUUUAACCCGGGAUUUCCACCACAUCCAGAGCGGCACUGAUCUGGAACGGCAGCGAUUUUCACCGUACGCCAAUUCCAACCAGAUCCGCUUGUGAGGCGAAUUUCAUGGCGGAUUACGGGCAGCAGGAAUCGCGAGAACUCACAAGUACCCGCAAAUUCAUGUGCAAUCGCGCGAUAUUAACUUGUCUUUAGCAACGUAGGCCAACCAUAUAUGCAGUAGAUUGUGUCCGUAUGCCAAUUCCAACUAGAUCCGUUUGUGAGGCGAAUUUCUUGGUGGAUUACGGACAGCAGGAAUCGCAAGAACUCACAAGAACCCACAAAUUCACAUGCAAUUGCGGAAUUACAAGUCAUCUUUAGCUACAUAGGCUAACCAUAUACGCAGUAGAUUGUGUCCUUCCAGAGGAGGAAAUCUACUUGUAGACUUGUAAAAUCAGUAUCUCCUCAUCCAUGGUGUUAUCAGGAUAAAAUGCUGUCAAUAAACCUUUCACUUGUUCGUCUCCGCCCGUUCGCAUGGUGUGAAACACAAUCCGCCUGAUACACACCGUGUUUUAUUUUGAAAAGAAGCCGAAUGUUUUAUUUUGAGUCUGUGCCCGACUUCCUUCCCAGCAUGGACUUAAGGUUUUUACACACCAGGAGUGUUUUUGUCGUGCGAUUAUUUCGGACGUCAAUAUUUUUUCUUCGAACCCGUAUCCUGUCAAUACAAGCGUUCACAUCAGCGACGUUUUCCCGUCCUGCGAUAUUGCGGCAUUCAUUUUUUCAGAUCACGGUAGAUUUUUCUUAAGUUUCACAUACUGUGUGUCCACUUCUGACCAAUCAGAUAGUGUUGUUGUGACGUCUGAUUCACAGGUAUAUCCAACAUGGCCGACCGGCUGAUUGUUUACGUGUUGGAGAACAGAGUGCUUUUUGAUAAAAGACACAAAUAUUACAAAGAUAACGACCUGAAGGAGAACUUGUGGAGAGUCAUAGUGUCGGAUUUCUCAUAUGACGAUGGUUUGUGAGCUUUAACAGUUUGCUAAACGUCUUUGUUUUAACUUUCAUCUGUGCUAGUGUAAGCAAACGGUUGUUACCAUAGUUUCAUGUGCUUAUCUUAUCGCCUCUGAUUGGCUUUAAGUGCUGACUGUUUGGCUUGAGCAUGUGAUGACAUUUCCAGCUUUUCUAGCCAAUCAGAAGCGAAGGAGGCGGGACUUUCCCCGGGAAAAGUCUUCCCCGGGAUGCGUCUUUCCCCCCACGGAUAGUCCCAAAUUUGCAUUGGGCUUGAUGUGGAUAGUCAAUCGCGUAAAAAUUUGCCUCCGAAUAUUUCAUAAGGACCCUAAUCUGUGCUGAAUUUAUGCGGCGUGCUCUGGCAUUCGGAAAAAAUAGAACUCUUACGAUCAGCUGAGAAGUCCAGCGAUCUGCAGCGAAACGGAAAGAAGCCAGUAGAAAUUGACACAUUAACUUGAAUGGUUACGAUCAGUUACAAUUGGCGAAUACGGCCUUUUCGUAACUGUUCCGGUUGCAGUGGAAAUUGCCAGUAAUUCUGGUUUAGCUUUAAAACACUGAAGAACAAACAGAGGAGGAAUCCCAAACAAUUGUCAACAGUGUCAGUGUAACCCCCUAAGUGGGUAAUCCUUUUUGGACAAAUCCAGUGGACUCCUGUAAUCCCUGCCUAACUCUCAGCUGGCCGGCCCCAUGAGUGCCGUUUUAAAAUAAAAACCCUUCAAGAUUGUCCCAGUAAUCCUCGUAUCCUGUCCUAUUACUGCCACUUGUUUCGGGGGGGAUCGGCGGUUUGUUGAAGGUUGUGUUUGUGUGUGUCCUCUUUGUAUCCCACCCUUUAGCACUUGAUAUCAUUUUGAGGAGGACUCCAAACUUCACUUGGGCUUUAUCUCGCAAUGUGUUUUACGGCAUUGUGCGAUAUGCUAAUAAGUGAAAAUGGGGGGACAAUAUUAUCAAAGUAUUAUGUAUCUCAUUCACCCAAAAUGUUCAUUAUUCCAAGGGCUGCUCUAUGCAAUCACCAGCAGGCAGAUGGAUGAAAUUAAACUCCUAAUGAUGCCUCCAAUGUGUAUUAAUUAUGUUAUAACAAGGCUUUGUGUGACUUCAAGUGCAGUGAAAUGACUGAGAAUAGCAUUUGAGCCUUUCAAUUAGCGGCUGAAAAGAGGCCUUCGCAUUCAGUGUCGACUGCUGCACGCUGGGGCCACAUGGGCCUGAAAUUCAUUUACGGUCUGAAUAAAGAAGUUGUUGCCCUAUCUGCUUCGGGCGCAGCUGUAUUUGAUACGCACUCUGGACUGACCAAUUCAAAAGAGAAAUUAAAUAUCCACCUCAUUUUGUCAGAAUUGGGACAGCGCUCACAAAACUAGGGGACUCUGAUUGGGGCCAAAGUCUCUAUUUUGCAGAAUGUGUUGGUGUGUUAGUAAAGAGACUCACACACUGAGAUCUUCCCUGGCAGUUCGUCAAAAUUGGGUAUUGUGGUUCAUCUCUCUAAGGGCGAUAGAUAACAGAUAAAGACCCUGACACAGAUUCCUCAUAAGACACUUAUAAAAACGUGUGUUUUUUUAUAACAUUAAACAUUUUUUAAGGUGAUUGAAUUUUUACAAAAAAUUAAAAUCAAGACCAGUUUAAAGCUCCUGGUGGGAUUUGUGAAACUGUUCCUAAAUCAAGCUGAAAUGUCUACUUUUACUACCUUUCUAUGCGACAUACAGAUCAACCAUUCUUAAAGCUCCAAUAAGGACAUUUUGGUUUAUGUUAGUUUUGGCGCCCCCUGUUGGCUACAGGAGUAUCAUUUAACAAAAACUUAGGUAACACUUUACAAUAACCCUGACUUAUAAAUGGUAAAUAGACCAUUUAUAAAUGGUAAGCAGAUAGUUUAUUCAUGUUUAAUCAUCAUUUAUAAAUAGGACAUAGACCAUUAAUAAAUUGUAAAUUUUACAAUUUUAAAAACCUAAACCUAACCCUAACCCUAACUUUACAAUAACCAUCUAAGUAAAGUUUAAUGGUGGUUCAUAAACCACUUGUUAAUCAUUUACAAAGUAUUACAAAGAUCAGUUGCAACUUUAAAAUAACCAUCUAAGUAAUGUUUGUAGAUGGUUUAAAAACCAAAUAUUCACCAUUUAUAAAGUGCUACUGACACACGUGUUAAUCUAGAUGUUUUACAACUAAUAUUUAAACCCUAUAUAAACCUUUAAUCAAUAUUGCAUUAACAAUUAGUGAAAAUUAUUAAUCAUAAUUUUAAUGCUUGUUAAUGAUCAAGAAAAUAUUAACUUAGAUGAAUAACAUAUUUAUUUGCCAUUUAUAAUUGGUCUAUAUGCUGAUUUUAAAUGAUGAUUAAACAUUAAUAAACUAUCUAUUUACCAUUUAUAAAUUAUGGUUAUUGUAAAGUGUUACCAAAACUUAAUCCUACUAAUUUUUGCCGGUCAAAUUCAUCACUUUUUGUGAAUAAUUAAUAUUAGAAAUGUUAAAACACGACUAUCUAUUUAGAAGCUUCACUUACACCUAUCCCCUCUCACUGGUUUUAGGUGUUGAAAAUUCCAGUUUAAAAUGCAUAAAGUUUGUUCCCGAUGGUCAUGUUUGCCUCUGUGUGUCAUCAAAAGGCAUUAACAUAAAUUUCUGUUUCUUUUUUAAGUGUUAAAAAAGUUCCCAGAUGAGCUUUAAGUCAUUAUUUUUUAUUACCAAAACAACUCCCAGAGGGAGGUUAGCAGUUUUGUGUGUAUAAGAAGUGCAUACAGUUUAUUCUCAUGUCAGGGUAAGUGGCAACUCCUGGCUAAAAUUAUGCAAACUCCACUCAUGAGUGGUCCUGUGAAAGCAGAACUCUCUGUCAGGGGAACUUAAUUUUAGCAAGACUCCAGUUUGAGCUACUUCUUUGUUCCUUUUUGCAAUUUCACCCUCAUUUCCCUAAUUGUUCAAGGGUUUCCUCCCAGAGACUGUGUCAGUGGCCCUUCACUAAUCCCCUGACCCUCCCUCGGUUUAUUGAUUUCCUUUGCUUGGAGUCUUAAUUUUAAUACUCUACCGGCCUCAGUUUGUUUGUGAACCUUUUGCGACACUUUCUCUGCUUCUCCUUUUGUACUUUAAAUGACUGUUGGGUCCAACAUGAUUACAUGGUGUUAUGUAUAAUCUAAUAAAGCUGAUUAUGUUGAUUUGAUGCCAAGAUUGCUUGAUUAUUGUAAUCUGUUAAAGCCUCGAAAUAAUACCACUGGUUUCAUAAAGGUCACAGAUAAAUAACUGAUUGGCAAUGGAUACAAAUAAAAAGUUAAAGUUAAAGGUGGGGUAGGCAGGAUUCCGUUAAUAAAGCAUCUUUUUUUGUGGUGUAUAUACAAAAAAGCUUUUAAUAUCAGUCAAUAUAUCAGUCAAUGUAUUUUUUUGUUCUAUUUUGCAGCUCUUUCCUGACUUUCUUUUUAAUUCAACAGUAUAUUCUCUCGACUGAGUCAGCCCCUGACUCACCUUUUGUUAUAUUGAUCUCCUCGACUCUCAGUAUCAACUUGUAUAUUCCCCUGUUUGAGUUUGUUUGUGCUCCAUCUCUUAACUCUCCGGUUACUUCCUGUGUUCCUGCUCCACUUCUCUCCCCGCUUCAGCUCCUGUUGAUUUGACAUACUUGCAUUGGAUUGUUGGUAACACAAUAGAGGCAGAUUAAGUUAAUUUCUUUUCAUUAUAUCGACUGUCGUCUGCUACAGCCUGAACUGUAACUACGGCUGGGAUAACACCGGAUCACAGGUUGCUUAUAAAUUGUAGUAGAUCAUUCUGGUUCUGAUUAUGAGUAUGAGAGACAGUCAAUUUCAAUUCCACUUUCUUUCCUCACUUUAUUGACCAAUACGAUGAUUUUUUAAGAGCAGUUCUUAUUGAGUCUGCUUUAGCAAUUUUUUUACACAAUCAACCAGCACCGGUAUAACCAUUCUCCUCCUUUUAUAAAUUCGCUUUAUUGCAAUUUUCACAAUAUCUCUGUUGAGCGAGGCUUUUAUUGUAUCAGAUAUUUCAUUUUAGUAGCUUUUAACUGUUAUUUCCCAUCUAUUUUUCUCACAGAGUGCGCAGCUACUGCGAUUCUCUUCAUAUUUUUGUGAAUAUACAGUAAAUAUCGUAUCACACCUGUGUUUUGGAAAUCUUAGUAAUUUUUAGGAUGAGUUUCCAUCGACAUGCAAUUCAAUUUGACACCAGAUCUGGAUCAUAUAGUGUCCUUUCAAGGCCAUGGAUCAGUAACUGUGAUUCCCACUUUAAAGAUGAUGGAGUAAUGGGAAAAUUAAGGUUAAUUUUCCUCCUUAAAUGUCAACAAAAGCUUGUGCACGGUCCAUUUGGUCUGAAAAUAGCCCAUCAUAGGCUCCCAUUCCCUCCUCUUUUUCACCACCCCCUCAUUAAAGCCGGCUUCAGAUGGGAGCGUGUUUGCGACCUGACAGCAACAACUCACAUAAGCCGUUUGUUUUCUCUUUUACUCUUUCUUUGUGAGUUUUACCCAAAAUCAAACCUUAAACUAUCAGUUCUUGAAUGACAAGCGUCACUAUUGAUUCUUUAUAGGAAAAGUAAAGGUAGUGUGUGAUCUACUGUAAGUUAAAACUAAUACACAUGUACAAUAAACGUGUAAAAUGUUCUAAACUGAACAGGCUGUUUGCCACACAUAUACAAGAGUGAUUCUGGGGGUUAAGCUUUUCUAAAAAAAUAUAUUAACAUUAAAAACAGAUCCUGGAUUUAGGCCUAAAUCUGCAUGUUGUUCUGCAAAUGUUAAUAUCAGCGUUAAUAUCAAGCUAUCAAGCAGCAUACCCACAUCCUCUGGUAACCCCGCUGAUCAUUAUAGGGUGUAUGAACUUAAUAACAGGGUCACACGGCAGACUAAUUGUCUCUGAUGUGACAGUCAGUGUCUUCAACAGAGUAUUGGCUCACAAUACAGAAUUACUGAUUUUAUCUUCAGCUAUUUUCUUACCAAAAAUAUGUUUAGUAAAACAAUUUACCUAUUCUUUUUUAAUGAGAAUGAAGUUAUUGUUAAAUUAUUAUAAAAUGUUUGACUAUAUUAUUGUUAGAAAAUUACUCCCCCAAAUAAAUUACCCUGAAGUUUCUUACAUACCGGGAGUGUUUUUUCAUGUGACUCGGACGUCAAUACUUUUUUUUGAUCCCGUAUCCUGUCAAUACAAGCGUUCACAUCAGUGACAUUUUCCCGUCCUGCGAAAUUGCGGCAUUUAUUUUUUCAUAUCACAGUCGAAUUUUCUUAAGUUUCACAUACUAUGUCCACUUCUGACCAAUCAGAUUUCGUGUUGUUGCGACAUCUAAUUAACCGGUAUAUCCAACAUGGCCGACAAGCUGAUUGUUUACGUGUCGGAGAAGAGAGUACUUUUUGAUAAAAGACACAAAUAUUACAAAGAUAACGACCUGAAGGACAACUUGUAGAGAGUCAUAGCGUUGGAUUUCUCAUAUGACGAUGGUUUGUGUGCUUUAACAGUUUGCUAAACGUCUUUGUUUUAACUUUCAUCUGUGCUAAGUAACUUUAGCUCGUAAGCUAACCUGUUCAGAUACAACAUACCAUAUGUAUUUUCACUGUCUCAAACUCAAUCGUGUUGCUGUCACAGCACCAUUAGGUCUUGGUUGUUACCUUACGUUUAUGGAUUAUAGUUUAAUGUGCUUAUCUGGUACUGGCCCCGACUCAGUCCAUGCUAUCAUGACAGACAGACAUCUCAACACUAGUGUCUAAUUAGAACUGAAAAACAGUCAGUCUGCUGUUGUGUCAGUCUUCUCACUUCCACCCGGGAUGCGUCUUUUUCCCCCCGGAAAGUCGAAAAAUCGCAUUGAGCUUGAUGUGUACAGUCAGGCACGUCAAAAUUUGCGAUUUCAUGAUUUCGCGUCAUAUAUUUGCAUCGUUCCAGAUGUGUAAGGACCUUAAUACUUUCACUUUACCUCAAUUACUCUUUUGCGAUUUCUCCUCCAUUCAUGACUUAAGAGCAUGCCGAGUCCCCUAUGUUCUCACAGGCUGAUAUUUUCUGAGGCUGACAUGUGCAAAAACACUUUUUCUUGAACCUUCAUGUCUUGGUUUUAAGACUGCUUGAAUGGCAGUCUAGUUAUAGAUUUUUUAAACAAGAUUCUUAAUACGACAGCAAGUACACUGAAUAAACUGUAAUUUCAGCACCAGCCCUGAACUUUUGCUCAGCUUUCAUUGUACAUAUCUAUACAAAUAACUGGAUCGAGCGGCAAAGUAUCUAAGUUCAAAGGUUCAGUAUUUUCCUUUAACUUUGAGUACAGAGUAAUCAAAAGGAGGAGAUUUAAUCACCAGUUCUCCAAAGAGUUGAGUUCGAGCAGUUUAGUUCCUCUUUUUGACUUGUAGCAGUAUUAAUUUACAAUGAAUUAAAGCAGAAGAAAUCACAGGCUGAACAGGAAUUAUUUACAUUAUCUCAAAUGUUUAAAAAAAAAUUAAAUUGCAGCUUAAAUUCAAUCCCCCCCUCCCGUGAUAAUUCAAAAAACUUAAUACUUUCCUCAAACUUUUCUUUAGAUUGCAGACACUGGGGGUAAUUUCUCAUCCUGCUGGUAAUAUGGAGCCAGAGGAAUCAUAUUAUAUCUGAGGGCAGUGAGGCAAACCAUCAUUUGAAUUCUCUUUAAUAAGAAGCAGACAUGGCUUAAUUGCUGCUGUAGUUCAAACAGAAAAAAAAAAAGAGGACCCAAUUUUUCUCUUGCUGGGGGUUUUGUUUGUUGCUGACAAAGGCCGCAUUAGCUGUGAAACAGCAGUUUCCGACAACAGCAAACAAACAGGGGGGUGUUGCCACAGAGCAAAAACAAGCCAAAUUUUUGUAUUGUGCUUUGGGUUACGCUUCAAAGGUACUAUCUCUAACAAGCUUGAACGCUUUGAACCUCUGUGAGGCGAGUUUUUUUCAUUAAACACAUAAAAAAUCAGAGGGAACAUAAGUUGACAUUUCUGUUUGUACCCAUGCUAGUAGCAUACCGCAAGAGUAAAAUAUAUUGGUCUAUUGCUUGGUAACAGACUGAAAUAUCUCAUGACCAAUUGAUGCAAUGAGACUCUCUACACUUAUUAUGGGGUGUCAAGCACUUUCCCCUAAAAGUGCUUGACGCGUGAAACUGAAUAAACCUUUACCGUACUAAUUACCCCCUUUUUUCCUCUCCAUAGCACCCAUAGUAUCUGCAGCACAUUCAUUAGCAUCACAUCAGUGCUUUAGCAUAAAAUGCCGGAAUAUGCCUUUAAGCGUUAAAUGAACUAUCAUUAGAUUCAGUACCUUCACCCAUGUUCCUUUGGGCGUUAUUGUGUGAAUGAGCUCUUCAUAAGUACAGAUGUUCAAACCUGCGUGGUUACUUUGGAAUGAGCUGUAAAACUGUUUUGGUCUCUUAGAUUUACAGUAAUAUACCGUAUAAAUCAUCACGCUCACAUUUUAAAAAAAAAUUGAUUUUGACAAUAAAGUCUUUUUUGUACAAAAUAAAGGAAUUGUAAGAUUAAUAUUUAUAUGUAUUUAUAUAUUUAUAUAUAUAUUUGACUUUGAAAUUAGUUAAAACUGCUUUGGUCUCUUUGAUUUACAGUAACAUCCCGUAAAUCAUCAUGGUCACAUUUAGGGAAAAAAAAAAAACCUUAAGAUUUUGACAAUUAUGUCCUUUUAGUACAAGAUUAAGGAUUUAUAAGAUUUAAAUGAUUAAUAUAUAUGUAUGUAUUUUACUUUGAAAUGAGCUGUAAAACAGCUUGGGUCUCUUAGAUUUACAGUAAUAUCUUGUAUAUUACAUAACAGUUACUUUUAGAAACACAUUCAAAUUUUGACAAUAAAGUCCUUUUAGUACAAUAUUUAAGAUUUAUAAGAUUUACAAGAUAUAUAUUUAUAUAUAAAAAAUUUGCUUUGAAAUGAGCUGUAACACUGCUUCGGUCUCUUAGAUAUACAGUAAAAUCCCGUAAAUUACUUCACUGUCACAUUUAGAAAAAACAUUAAGAUUUUGACAAUAAAGUCAUUUUAGUACAAGAUUUAAGAUUAAUAAGAUUUAUUAAUAUAAAAUUUACUUUGAAAUGAGCUGUAAAACUGCUUUGGUCUCUUAGAUUUACAGUAAUAUACCGUAUAAAUCAUCACAGACUCACAUUUAGAAAAAACAAAGAUUUUGUCAAUAAAGCCUUUUAAGUACAAGUUUUAAGAUUUUUAAGAUUUAUGAGAUCAAUAUACAUAUAUUUUACUUUGAAAUGAGCUGUAAAACUGCUUUGGUCUCUUAGAUUUACAGUAAUAUCUCGUUUAUUACAGCACGGUCACAAUUAGAAAAAACAAAGAUUUUGUCAAUAAAGCCCUUUAAGUACAAGUUUUAAGAUUUUUAAGAUUUAUGAGAUCAAUAUACAUAUAUUUUACUUUGAAAUGAGCUGUAAAACUGCUUUGGUCUCUUAGAUUUACAGUAAUAUCCUCUAACUUACAUCAUGAUCACAUUUAGAAAAACACUAAGAUUUUGACAAUUAAGUCCUUUUAGUACGAGAUUUAAGAUUACCAAGAUUUAUAUGCGUAUAUGAUUCCCUUCGCUAAUGUCAGUGGUCCAGAUUCUUUCCUAGGAGUUUAAACUUUGCUCAUGAGUAACUCUGAGGAUGAACUGAAUGUGCAUACUUCAAACUCUGGCAAACUGUGACACUCUGGAGACACAUUCACUGUUAAGUCUGUGAGUGCUGAGGGCUGUCAAAACCCACAAUUCAUCAGGUCUUCCCGAGGUCUCAUGUUGACUUUCUGCUGACUUCCAGACAGUCCACUUGGGGUUCAGGCUUCAGCAGACCAUUUGAUUUAAUUACCCCAGAAGUCGGUGAAAUACGAGCCGAGUACUGUAAAGGAGCCCCUACAUUUUUAAAGUUAUUUUUUCUCUGAUAUUUUCAACCUUAUUAGAAAGGACAGCUGAAAAGACAUGAAAUAUGGGGAGGAGAGAUUGGGGAAGACAUACAGCUAUGGUUUUUGGCCAGGGGAUUGUGGCUGAGCCAAUCACUGGGCCAUCCAAUGACAUCAAUGGUUUCCUGAGACAACCAACUACUGUAUGCCAUACUUUCUUCUUCUUUCUUUUCCAACUGGUACAAAAGUCGCAGUUACAUUAAAAAAAUUGGCGUCCUUUCCUGUUAGCAUCCUUAACAAUAACGGACUAUAACAACAGCACUUAAAGUCAUGUCAGUCCUGUAAUCCAAUCAAAUCCAUAUGUUGAGGUUUGUGGUUGCUUCAUGUCUGUUUUCUUCGAUUUGGUUGAUGCUUUUAACAUUCCUCUCUUGUUUCUACAUGUUUUUCCCUUUUUGUCUACCUUUCUUGGCUGCCACUCAUCAGCCACUCACCACCAAUCUUUAUUUCUGUGCACAAAACAUGUGCAUCAAUAUUCAUUGUCUGUAUCUUUCUUCUUUAUUCCUCUGCUCUCCAUUCUCUCUCCUCUCUCCAUCAUUCUCCUUCGCAUGUCUCUGCCUUAAGUUCAAAGUAAGACUUGUUUACUUCCUCCUCUCCUUCAAACCAUGCUUGCUCACUCUGCUAGCUCGCCUCCCAUCCUUUCAAAUUUCCAUCUCUCCCUUCCAUGACCCUUUGCACCUUUUUUGUCUUGACAGCACUCUGCGGCUCACCCUCACGCCCCUUCCUCAUCUCCUCUCUCCCCGUUCUCUCCAGACUUCUGUAAUUUCCUCUCCUUUUCUCCCCCCUCGCCCGCCUUGUCAUUUUCGCUCCUUCAACACUUCUUUCUGUUCCCCCUUUUUUUUUCUCCCCCCUCCUCCCCUCGUCUCGCCCUCAUUCGCCCCUGUCUUCAUUUAGAGACUUGGUGUGGCUCUGAUUUCUUUAAAUAGCUCUCAUUGCCUCCAGGAGGUUGAGGCAGCAGUCUGGUUCUGCUAAUAAAUGACAGCGAACAAAUGUGAACGCUGAAUCAACUGAAGGCGAGCACGUACGCGCACUUGCGUACAGCGAGUGCGUGUGCGUACACACUCAGCACAUCAGAUCACACAACAGUGAGGCACUUCUUUUGCAUAAAAGUGACAUGAUGUGACAUGCGGCUUAAAAGACAUUCAUGGAAAGACAGCUUAAAGGUGUGCGUAUGUGUGCGAGUGAGUGUCUUUCCAUGUGCCUGCUAAAAACAGGCCCGGCUUGUUCCAUCUUAUAUCUCUCCCAUUCUUCUCCCUUUUUGUUCACCCAGUGUGGAAAUAAAUGACAAUAAUGGAUUGCACAGUCCUAGUAAUUUUGCACAUUAUUUCUGAGCCAUUGCUUUGCAUAAUGAAUGCCUGCUAAUGCACUUUUUUGUUAAUUCACCACAAAGGGUCCAAAAAGUCUGCUGUUAUGAAUCACUGCAGAGCAAUGCACGUAUUUAUUAGCAUACCACAUGCACAUUGUGUCAUUUGUAGACUUGAAAUGUAACCUGAAAGUGAAGGGGCUGAUAAGAAAGCAAGCCCCGUGUCUUUAUUUAUUGUUCCUCUGCAGCUCUGCUUUGCGCAGAUUUGUGUUAUCUCCUUAGUGGCUCUGAUAAAGCGUCUGAAUAUCUGAUUCAAUUUAUCUUAGAGGAUCAGUCUGGCUGGAUUCCUAGAUUUUGUCCUCAUUAUUUAUCUUUAUAAGUGGUUUACAGAGGGAAGCAGAUAGGAAAAGUACCACAGGACCGUAUAGCAAUGUAUUACAAACAGAGAACAGCUCCCAUAAGUCCAGUGGUAAUGUAGACUGAGGUAACCCCGAAAAUGCUGACGAUCAGUGUGGUUAAAAAAGCGAGUCUGGGGUCCAUGGUUUCCCAAAAAGAGUGCCAAACUUUGAUUGAAAGUCAUAUUGAUAAAGGCCUGACCGAUAUGGAUUUUUUGGGGCCGAUGCCGAUACCAAUUAUUAGGGGGAAAAAAUUCGGAUUACCGAUUAAUCAGCGGAUCUUUUCAAUUUUUUUUGAAGUUAUUAAAAAAAAAAAAAAUUAUAUAUAUAUAUAUACUGUAGAUAUCUACAGUUUACUUUAUACUGUAGAUAUACUGUAGGCUACUGCUCUUCACGCCGACAAGAAGACCGACUGAUCAAACUCGGACCAGAAAAGCGUCAACUACCCGAUGCCUCUGAUGCGGUGCCUCCGCGUCUUAACUCACGUUACUCAUUUCCGGUCUGGUCUCAUCUGGAGACAUUCAGCUGCCUCAGUAAGAGAAGUAGCUCAAUCAUGUAAUGUGUACUGUUGUUUAUUCUACCGUUACUAGCGCGGCUAACAGUGUAGCAAGGCUAAUAGCAGGUGGCUAACUCUAACGUUAGCUUGCAUAUUACAUGGUGCUUCACCGUUAACUCGGCGUGACCAAGACCAGCACAGCGGGGAACAUCGUGAAGUGAGUUGAACUGAAACUUGUUGACUUAUUGUGUAUUUCACAAGCUAGUUUAUUUACCGUUGAGGUGGACCACUCUCCUCCGUGCGUCCCUGAGCUGCCUGCUUCAGAUCCGUCACUCUGCUGUGCUGUGAGGUAGUUAGUGGAUGAAGAUUGUCAUGAGGUCGCUGCGCCAUCUACAGGAUAAGUCGGGCAACUGUUCAAAUGGCGGAACAUUUUCGAAGUGCAACCAAAUCUUAUUUUCCACAUUUUAUUUCUGAAAAUAUCGGUGAAAAUCAUCGAGUUUUAGCUGAUUACUGAUUAGUCUCAAUUGGGCUAAAAUUGGCUGAUUUAUUCAGCUCACCGAUAAAUCGGUGGGGCCCUAAUUAAAAGUCACAUUUAUGUCGUUUAAGAUGAUCCGAAUCCAAACAAGCCAAUCAGCAACAUCAAUGAUGGUUUUUAGGUCCUAUCUUUUAAUAACUGGAUCUGGUUAUCCUUGCUAGAAAUGUCUGAGUUUCUUUUUUGGAUAAGUUUUAGAAAACAUUAAUGCUACCUUUUUCCUGUCUUUCACCAAAGAGUCCUUUGAAAAUGAGUGCUUUAAAGUGCUUUACCAAACCUUUAAAGGUCAUGCCUCAGUGUGAUAUGUUCCUCCUCAGCAUCUGAACACUGCAGUAUAAACUACAACAAAAAGAAGACCUUGAUGUAACUAUCCUUUAAAUCUCUUUGGAUGCUGGUAUUGAUCACAUUCACUCUCGUCACAGCUGCUGCUUGCUACAGCACAAUAUGGCACCACUCACUGGAAGGCUUCAAUAUUCGUGUUAUUAUAUGUAUGAAAUGAAUCAAAAGUGUAAUUUUAAAUGAAGUCUUUCUCUGACAGAGCAUAAGAUUACCUUGAAUGAGUCUAAUUUGAAUCACAUUACGUUUCCUGGUAACUGCUGUAUGAGUAGUAGUGGUGGGCAAAACCAUUCAUUUCAGUGAACCGGACCAUUCCGGUUCGUUCAGUAAAAAGAUUCGUUAAUUUCAGUCAUUUCGGUCAAUUGGUCGUUAGUCAGUCCGUUCGCUCAUGUUCACGUUCGUUCAGCGUCUGAACGAAUGUGAGCGAACGGACUGACUCGACACGGCUGACCGGGUUUAUGCAGGGGGAGAUCUGUUCAGACUCUGAACGAACGAGAGCCUCUUAGCUCCCUUUGUGACAAUAACAUCAAGUAUUUCCAACAGAUACGUCUUUGCUGACAUUCAAAACACAGAGAGAUCUAAGAAUAUGUAUUCAACAGCUGUGCGACUUGGGACAAUCUCAUGCGCAAGUUUCCAGGUAACGGGGUCAAUUUUUACACCGAAAAACCGGCAUGUUGACCCAGCUAAACCAAGCUAUAUAGCUAGGCUAGCACAUUACAGCACAUUACAGUCAGCUCAGUACUGCUGCUGCUUCUCUAAGCCCCACCCACCCACAGAGCGAGGCACGAUGAUAGGAUAAGACAGGCAAGCACGGAGAUAGUCCCACCCUAAGGAACGGUGAACUGACUCUUCAGCCAAUCAAAAGAACUGAACGGACUGAACGGAUCAUUUAGGGGGGGUGACCUCGUUCAUUUCGUUCACCAAAAAGAACUAGUUCUUUUGAUCUGUUCGUUCAUGACCGACACAUCACUAAUGAGUAGUUCAUUCUGUCUUUGCUCUUAAUUGGUAUUUGGGGAACCUGUCUGCAUGAUUUCCUCACCAUUACACGUUUCUCUCCGGGUACAGUCAGUUAGUGCUGGACCUCUUCUGCCCCAGGCUUUUGUGUAUCUCUUUUAAGACAUCCCCGGCUGCCAUUGUGUUUUCGUUUGGGAGUCUUAGUCAGUGUUCUUUGAGAGCUUCGUUUUAAAACAGCGGCUCAGUGAGGUGGUUAAUUUUCAUUUGUGCAUCUUUCAUAUUUUAUUUUCCCAUAUCCUGUCCAAUCAUUUGUGGUUUUUGUAUCACUGCACCAACUCUUUCAUCCCACUGGUUAAUUUCCAUAGAGUUAAGGUAAGAACUUCUCUCAUUUCGAAGCUACACAGAAACUUUUUUAAAUUUUCCUCUGUAUUGAUAGUCAUGGAAACAAUUACCUUUGUUGAUUGCAAACAGCACCACUAGCUCAAUGCCACUGUACCCGUAUGAUUCUCAUUAGAGCCUGAGUCCACUGAUGGCAACUUUUAGGGCCUGUGUGCACUGAAGGCAAUGCUAGUGCCUGUUUGCACUGGGGGAAACUUUUAGGGCCUGUGUGCACUUGGGGCAACUUUUAGGGCCUGUGUCUACUGAUGGCAACUUUAAGGGCCUGUGUCCUCUGAGGGCAACUUUUUUUAGGGCCUAUGUGCACUGAUAGAAACUUUUAGGACCUGUGUGCAUUGAGGGCAACUUUUAGGGCCUGUGUCCUCUGAUGGCAACUUUUAGGGCCUGUGUGCACUAAGGGCAUCUUUUUGGGCCUGUGUCCACUGAUGGCAACAUUUAGGGCCUAUGUCUUCUGAUGGCAACUAUAAGGGCCUGUGUACACCGAGGGCAACUUUUAGGGUCUGUGUGCACUGACGGAAAUUUUUUGGGCCUGUGUACACUGACAGCAACUUUAAGGGCCCAUGUCCACAGAUGGCAACAUUAAGGGCCUGUGUGAACUAAGGGCAACUUUUAGGGCCUGCGUACACUGAGGGCAGUUUUCAGGGCCUGUGUCCAAGUACAGCAAUUUUGAAGGCCUGUGUCCACUCAGGGCAAUUUUGGCACCAGUUGUGCCUAUUUUUAUACAUUUUUUAAAACACCAUCAUGUUCCCAGCACUCAGUGUACUAAGCCCAUACUAUAUGCUUGGCAUUAGCUGUUUUUCAUUACCAUAAGCACAGAUUGUUUGGCAGGCAAGUACAUAAACUUUUAAACACCUCUGGGAACUAGUGGUACAAAUUUAAAUGUCAAAUUAUGUCCAAGGAUGCAUGCCCUUGCAAUGUUUGGAAGAUGGUCAGGCUGAAAUCGCAGUUCAAGGUCUUGGGAAACAACCUGAGAAAGUUCAAGCACGGCAGAAAAUUGAAUAUGACUAACUGUGGGCCACAAAUCACUUGAAGGCUUCAUAAAAUAAAAUAAAUACACUGCAAAUCAAGCAGUGUUCAUUUAGUCACUACACUCGCCGCUGCAUGCACAAAAAAUCAUAUUGAUCCCUCGACUUAGUGGCAGGACACUCCAUUUGCUUGUCUGCCAACAACUGCAAUUUUUCUGUUUGAAAUUGCACGCUGACAGUUCCAAUAAUGACCCCAGAUCACAGACACAGAGAAGAACCGAAAAGAGGAGGCGCUCGGAGUGACCAGCCAAGCAUGGGCCCCUGACAUCAUUCACCAUAAACAUCGCCUUCAGCCAGGACCCUGAUAAGUCAUGGCGUCUGCUCCCCAUCUGAAGGGGUAAAUAUGGAUUUGAUAGAAAAUAUGAGGGGAUGGUGACAAGGAUGUGCUCUUGCAUGCAACUACUAUACCUGUCUGUCACUUCUGGAGUCUUCUCUGUUGUGUGUGACUUCUAAGUUUCACUUAUGGGAUCAUACCGGCUCAUAAAUCAGGCUGUUAUCGUCUCUAUCUUUAUAAAGAAUGCUCCACAUUCUCUGAGAAACUUUAUCCCUGAAAUUGGUCUCGGUUAUUAUUCCAAGCAGCACAAGGACGUCUCUGCAAGUCGCAUUGCAAAACCGGUAAUUAUGUGCACUUUGAAAGCUGAGAGAGAAUGAGAGAGUUCUGCUUUUGUUAUUCAGAUUUCAAGCAAUUGUAAUAAAUACUGUAGCUGAAACGGAAUAAAAAAAUAAUAAUUCCAUCAGUGGUGUACAAAUUGUUUUGUCACCAUUCUGGUUAGAAGUGAUCUGCUGCUAAUGCAUUUCUAAUUAAGGAGCAGUCUAUUUUCAGAGUUUUUAUUCCGUGUCAACUUGGCAGCAGCUUUAAUCAAAUCCCCGGCAGCUGUUUGACCUAAUGUCGUGGCCCUCUGCUUGACAACCUCUGACAGAUGCUAAUUUGUUAUUUUUCCUGCAAAAGGCAUCACCUGGAGGCAUGAUUGACACCCCAGCUUACGAACUCGUCUGUCAAGUGAGGCUGCGCUUGACUGAAGUUCGUGAUCCCUCUGGUGGGACCCUGGGAAAUAAUGGAUACGCAAUGUAUAUAUGGGAUAUAUAGAGUGUCAAAUAUUGAUUUCAUCUUUAUUAUUUAUGCUGUCCAACAGAAAUCAAUUCAAUAACAUGGGAUCAUAUAUAGUUAUUAACUCACAGUGCACGGCAUCAGUGUCACCGCCUGAAGCAGAGGAAAGGAAUCUUAACACAGUAACUCAAUAUCAAUUGAGGCAAUUUGAGCAAAUGUAAAGCAAAAAAAAAAGAGACCCUAUAGGAAUGCAAGGAAUUAUCAUCCCAAAUUCAGGUCCUUAACAUGCCUCCAAACUCAACGAAAUUCACACAUGCAUCAGGUCUGGUGAGAUAUCCUCAAUAUUUCACCUACAUGCAUGAUAAUCUCUAGGCAUAGACCUAUAAAAAAAACCCUCAUACCACCAUGAUGAAAUCCUAUGUGCAUCUCUGUGAUAUGUCUUUUUAUAUGUUAAACACAUGCCACAAGAAGAGCCUUCAGAUCUCAUAAAGUGUUAUUGCUCACACUGAGUAUAUGGUAGAUUGUCAGACUGUGCUUUCCGCCAAUGAAACAGGAAGUUAUUUAAAGUUCUUCAUACAAAGUCCACACAGUACAAAGUAAGAAAUGAAAACAGCAUAUUCUUCACCUAUAGAGCUACUUCAACACUCAAUCUAAAUCAUGGUCACAGUGAUUCAAACUGUGUGUGGAAAAAUGUUCACCUCGAAGAGCUUCAUGCCAUGGAGAGGAUAUUUUAAGAAUGAAUCAAGUCCACCCAGUAGAGUACAUGAACAUGUGACUGUAUUCCCAACAAUCAGCCUGCAUGUCACUCAUAGUAACUAGGGAUGUCUGCUCAUGUCAACCACGGUACAUACAGUUUGCCGUCUAUUUAUAGUCUUAUUGCAUUUCAGUCAGUGACACUGAUGGUCCUGUAAAUGAUACAUGUACCAAUGCACUGAUAGCCUGGAAGCAAAUCAGUGUUUAUUCUGAUAACUCAACAUAUAUGUAUAUUUUUUUUUGAAAAUUAAUUAACUAUAGCAAAUUCAGAGUGUACUGUGUAACUACUGAAUACCAUCCUUAAGAGGAUGGUACAUAUAUAAUCAUGAUUUAAGUCUUUAAAAGUCAAGCUAUAAAAAGUCCUAUAGGAUUAAAAAAAAAAAAAAAAAAGACUUUUUAUUUGUAAAAUAUUGUCUUGGCUUUGUACAACGGAGCAUUAGAGCCACAUUAAGAAAAGAGAAAAUUUUAGACCUCAGAAUUACUUACGAGAAUAAAGUCAUAACAAAAUAAUUACAAGAAUAAAGUCGUAAUAAACUCAGUUCUUAUGGAAAUAAAGUCGUAAUAAAUAAUUAUUUACGAGAAUAAAGUUGUAAUAAAAUCAAUUUUUAUGGAAAUAAAGUCAUAAUAAAAUCAUUAAUUACUAGAAUAAAGUUGUAAUAAAAUAAUAACUUACAAGAAUAAAGUCGUAAUAAAAUCAUUUCUUACGAAAAUAGUUGAAAUAAAACCAUUACUUACGAGAAUAAAGUCAUAAUAAAAUAAUUACGAGAAUAAAGUCGUAAUAAAAUCAUUUCUUACGAAAAUUAAGUUGUAAUGAAUCAUUAUUUACAAGAAUAAAGUUCUAACAACAGGUUGGAAUAGCUACUAGCUACGACUUUAUUCUCGUAAUGAUUUUAUUACGAGAAUAAAGUCGUAGCUAGUAGCUAUUCCAACCUGUUGUUAGUUGUUUAAAUGAGCGCUGUGGAGCGUUUAGAUGAAUUGAACUUCUGUAGCUAGGUUUCACUAACAAGGAGAUACUUAAUCAUUUGUCGUUUCAGCAUCACAUUGUCAUAAGUAUCAGAACACAUGCAAGAAAUGCAUCUUUUCCCAAGAAAGAAUCAGGCAGAACCAUAGCUUUGAAAUAUGACAAAUAAAUAAAUAAAAUCCAAUUUUCAAGUGGCAUGUUGUUUUGUUCUUACAUAACAUUUUAAUCUAAGCUUUAGGGCCUGUGUCCACCAAAUGCAGUGGCAAUGCCUUUUCCUCACAUAGAACCACAGUGCUUCUCAAUCAUAUAUGUGUAUACAUAUAUAUAUAUAUAUAUAUAUAUAUAUACACAUAUGUCAUACCUGCACUGCACAUAUGUACAUACCUUGCACUUUACUUCCUUGCACUUCUUAUUAGAUAAUAAACUGCAUUUCGUUGUUCAUGUACUUGUACUGUGGUUAAUGACAAUAAAGUUGAAUAAUCUAAUCUAAUCUAAUCUAAUCGCAAAACUCUUAGUGCAUGACAAGAUGAAAAAUACAAGAUAAGAGACCCCUAAGUGGUGAGCAUGAACCCUUUACCGGGCAAAAAUGGAACCACAUCUCACUGUCUUAACUAAAAAGAAGCAGGUCUCCUGGAUUUCCAAACAAAUACAGGCUCUGUCUCGAUGGGAACAUUUGCACCAUCCAUGCCAUUGAGACUUUUUGAUCCCUAGAACAAUAUUGAAUACUGGAUUAUGAACUGUGUAUCUCUCCACUCUUUCAAAGAGUUUUCCACUUUAUCCAAGUACAUUUAAAAUGGACUCAGGUCCUAGAGGAGCCACCAGUACCAAAUAGUACUUUUGGAUUGUCUUCAGUGACACCCUUCAGGUUAACACACAGUUUUUAAGUAUUUCUUUGUGAUGAAUAGAGUUAUAUGUUUAAAUGAUAAUGAUGACUGUGUGAGAACAGAGUGCUUGCAUUAACAAGUUCUCCUUUACUCUUAAAAAUCUUGGAUAAUAAAUUGCCUGAAUUUAUGGAGCCGGACAGUGGCUUUAAAUUACAGACAAUCUGGAGGGAAUAUUUUCACCCAAAAAGGAAAAUGCUUGCACGCUGUUAAAUUUGUGCUUAUGACUGUAAAGUGCACCACAGAGCCUAUAAUGUAGUUUGCAGCUGGUCAGGCAGCUUCUAUAAAUGACUCUGGACAAGUGCGCAGCACUGUAUGGAUGUUAUAAUUAAAGUGUGUGUAAUUAUGAUGUUUAUGAUAAUCCCAGUUUUCAUGGCAGCAGUUUAUCUCAAAAUAGGGGGACUGGGAUUGAACAUUUAUAACAGCAAUAAGAGCAAAUCUGUCAAAAGAAGUGACUUUUACCCAGCUGUGUAUAACCUUGUGUUUGCACCGUGUGGUACAGAAAGCAAAGCUCUGAGUACAGCAGGAGCAGUCAUGGUUUUGUCAAACAAAUCGUUUUUCACUCGCCACAAAUAGAUUCGGUACAAAAGUGAGGAACAAGAAAGAAAAUUAAGUCGGAGAGGAGACAAAGACAAGGUCAGAAAAUAAGGCGAAGCAGCUCAGAAAAACUUCAGGGGAGCUUUACAAGAGGGGUAAGGAUGAAUUGGGCCAAUCAGACGCAAGGGGCGGGGUUAAGUGAUGAUCAUGUCGUUGUGGUUUUAUCUAUGCAUGCUUUACUUUUAACCUGCAUUCUUAAGGUCCUUUUUUCGUGCGAUUAUUUUGGAUGUCAAUAUUUUUUUUCGAACCCGUAUCCUGUCAAUACACAAUAAACGGUCUCAUCAGCGAUGUUUCCCGUCCUUCGAUAUUGCGGCUUUUUCUUUUUUCGUAUCAAUUUUCUAAAGUUGUGCAUACUAUGAGUCCACUUCUGACCAAUCAGAUUUCGUGUUGUUGCGACAUCAGAUUCACGGUAUAUCCAACAAAUAUUACAAAGAUAACGACCUGAAGGACAACUUGUGGAGAGUCAUAGCGUCGGAUUUCUCAUAUGACGAUGGUUUGUGUGCUUUAACAGUUUGCUAAACGUCUUUGUUUUAACUUUCAUCUGUGCUAAGUAACUUUAGCUCGUAAGCUAACCUGUUCAGAUACAACAUACCAUAUGUAUUUUUCACUGUCUCAAACUCAAUCACGUUGCUGUCACAGCACCAUUAGGUCUCGGUUGUUACCUUACAUUUAUGUAUUAUAGUUUAAUGUGCUUCAAAAUUCGCCUCCGAAUAUUUCGUAAUUUCGUGUCGUUCCCGGUGUGUUAGGACCUUUAGUUUAAGCAACAUACUGAGUUCACUGACAACAAACCUCAUAAUUAUUUGUGAUCUCAUUUGAUGAUUCGCACUACAGAGUCAGUGCAAUUCUUUCCCAAGGAACACUAUUUCCCUCUCUAGGAUGCCAUUUUUAUGCGGAGUCAUGCCUCUAACCUAGAGAUAGACUUUUCCUCCGUUGCGGCUGCUGUUCAUCAACAACACCAAGCUUGCACUGAGUUGCAGCUGAGCACAUGAAACAACUUGAGGGAAUAGAAAAACUUCCCAGAGUGCAGUGCAAGUUUAAUUAAGUAAUGUGUUUUAGCACAUCACUUAAUAACACUCUCAGAUCUGGAAUCUUAUUAUCUGCCUUACCGUCCUCCAUUGUUAUAAUGCAGCGUUAUUGUUUGUGUCAAUUAUAAGCAAUUAAUAAAGUUGAGUCGUUUUCAGGCAUGUCCAAGCGGCAUCACUGUAAGUUAUAUCCUUCUCUAACGAAAUUAUUGGCUACCCAUAAGAGUACACAGAGGAAGAAUUAAGCACUGGGUUGUAAUUAAAACCAUAGUGUGUGUGUGUGUGCAGCCUGGAUCUAAUAUAGAAAGUGAUGGGUAAAUGGGUUUUAUAAUGAUAGUGUGACUUCUAAUUCCAUGCAGGACAGGUAAUAACUUGCAAGUUAUGGAACAGAACCGUGCAGUAUAGCUGCUAUUAGGGGAGAAGAUUGUGGCGCUAACUCUAUUUCAAUUAUACAUGGUAAUUUAAUAUCAAAGCAUAAUUAUAAUGAUUUUACACUUCACCUCCGAUCCUCCUUGUACCCUCUUUCUCUUUUCUCUUCUGCAGUCUUUUUUUUUUUUCUCUCCCUGCACUUAGUAGAGGUCUCGACACAGCUGGGGAACACUGGCUUGUUUCCAGGAUUGGCGAAGUGCUCUGAAGUUUUUUUUUUCUUUUUUUCUUUUGACUGGCUGAACACAGUUCUGUGAUGUAUUAACUGUCAAUAUGGGCAGCUCCGGCAGAAAAUCAAUGUCAUUAGAGUUUAAAAAACUUUUUAAAGUGAAUUCAUCAAGAGUCGUGGUAUCCAGAUGAACAUAAUGGCUGUAAUCUGUCAACCAAGCUGGAGCUCCUGAGAAGUGCGAAUGCUUGCGCAUUAACCAGGAUACCCUAGAUGUCAGUCAGGGUGUUUACAUGCACAGCUUAAUCGGACAAAGCUAAAAAUUUGUUGUUUUUUUUCGCCGAAUCUGACUUCUCUCCUUGUCCGUGUGUACAUGCUGCUGAGAAAAUCGAAUUAUUGACGUGAACGUGUCCUUCUCCUGAAAACUAGGGAGCGAUGUGGGUCUUUUCAGUGGUGCUGUUUCUGGUUGACCCCAUAUACCUUUCAACAACAACAGCAGGUCUGUGCCAGACGUCAAAGUGUCUACAACUGCUGCUGGGCAUUUUUGAGCAAGAAGAUGAAGCAUCAUACAGCGUUGUUUUUGUCGUAACAUAACGUAUGCGCUACUUUUUCUGCAGAUGAGGUGCACACUACUCCUCUUCUCUGGUGUUUUUGUUCUGGGGUUAUAGGGGCGUGGUGCACGUGCAUGCGCAUUGUCCAAUCAUACUCCGACUAUGCUGGUUACAUGGUAGAGAAAAUCGAAUUCCAAUCGCGUAAUCUGGGUGUCUUAAUCGGAGUUCACCGACCCCAUUUGAAGUUCUCAAACUCUGAUCAAAGUCGAACUAAGGUGUUUACAUGCACUUCAGUUGUCCGGUCUUAAUCGGAGAAAGGCAAUGAUUUGGUUUUCUCGAGUGUGAUGUAAACUUACCGACUAAAGGUCCUUACACACCAGCGAAUUUGCGGAACAAAGCGAAAAAGCGAGACGAAGAUGCGAAAAUAUUCGCCGGUCCGAAAAAUCGCUUUGCCUAUACACACCGGGCGCGAAGCGAAUAUGCGUAUAAAUUACCAGCCUCUUUCCCAUAGAUGCUCUUGGUGCCAGUGGUGGUGUGUGUCGUGUGAACUGCAGCCGCAUGGGUCUGUGACGUCAUCAACAACAUGACUUCUGAUUGGCCAGAGGUCUAGCAGGUCCAGAUAUUCGCCUGCAAAUCCCCGAAAAAUUCGACACAAGAGCGAAAAAAUAAGACACUUUUCGCCCCACGGAAAAAUCGCCGCCGGUGUGGAAGCUUGCAUUGACCCUAUGCUGUUUUAAAAAAAGGCAAAUAAAGGCGAAUAAUUCGCCUGGCAAAUUCGCGCCUGGUGUGUAAGGACUUUUAGUGCUAUAAAUUCUCUUCCGACAACAGCACACUGACUUUACACUAAUUGGAAAUUUCUUACAGACUUGAAUUAUUCUCACUGAAGACCAGCAUCAUCUUUUAAAUAAAAUUAAACCAUUUAUUUACCAGAAUAAGGAAUUUAAGGCUGCCUCCCACUGUGAAGUCAUGGUUUCUAGUCGUGCCAAAAAAGCUUCUCAAAUUAACGCCACUUUCCCUGAGACUUUAAUGGGUAUUUUGUGGACACUAAAUGAAACCAAACCUGCUCCUACCACUUCUCUGAAAGCUUAAAUGGUAAAUUUGGGAAGUGUAAUGAAUCGUUUCACACCGCUUUUCUGGUGCAUUUUAUAGUUUAUUGUGGAUACCAAAUGAACACCCACCUUUGACGAAUUCACAGAAUUAAUCAGGAGGUUUUUAGGUAUUUUGUGGCUACUUCAUAAACCUAAAUCCUUUAAAAAAACACCACACGUCUUUUCAGACUUUAAAUGAAAUCUGGAGCCUUUCAUAGGUAAUUUGUGGACUUGAUGAAACUGAACCCUUUGCAAUCUACUUAUACUUUUCUGUAGGCUUUCAUAGUUUAUUUCCAAAUAUCUAACAGAAUCGAACCGGUUUCAAAUUCACGCCACUUUGCUGGAGAAAAUUAUAGGUAAUUUGUGGAGGCUAAAUGAAAAUAAAGGCUUUUAUAGGCCAUACAGACUCGGUCUAUUGCAUCUGCUUUGUCUGGGCAUUUAAGUGGAAAAUGUUGGCUGAGCUACACUGGUCUAAGGAGGGACCUUGAGAGAGGCUGGAUAAUGAGUUAUAUCAGCAGGAAUUGAAAGAAAUCAUCUUGAAGUUUUCAUAUAAAAUUUAAUUUUAUUUAAAAUCAUAGACAUUUUUAUCAAUGUGUGGCUGUGCUGCAUUGUGUUUCACUUCACUCCAGCAUCAGCAAUCCUAAUCUUUGCACUGUAGAUACAGACGGGUUUUGCCAAGAUGCAUCAAUCAACAAAGGGCAGAUCAAGAGUUAGAAGAAGUCAGACACUGACAGACUGUUUGAAUUUUUUUUUUUUUCUCUGUAAAAAACAAACAAUAAACGCACUGUGUAGAGGCCAGAUCAUGUUUCGCUUAACUACACCGACAAACCAUCCUAAUGAGCAGGGCCAGGCGUGGAGUCAACGGGUCAGAGGUUUCCAGAGCUCAUCAUGGAGAUAGAAAACCACCGAUUCUGAAUGUAAAGCAGGAAAUCCUUGGUCUUGUGACCCCAGCUGUCUGAUGGUGCUCUGCCGCGCUGCACUCUGAAAACGAAGUGGGUGUUGAUGAAUUAAGAGGUAUGAAGCUGCACAGGAUCAAGGCUGAACACGGACCGGGUAGAAGUCCACCAUAACAGGGCCACAGGGAGUGCAAUCCUGGCCAGAACAGUUCUUUCACCAUUUAUGUUCGACUGUAAUCACAGACAAGGAUUGUAUCUUAUGAGAUUGAAAAAGCCUCAUUAGUGUGGAAUACAAUAACUCUAAUUUAUAUGAUGGUUUCGUGAUCUGCUUAAACACAAAUCUGCUAAAACAACUAAAAACACCAAAGCGAAUCCUCAUUGGCUCAUUCAUCAAUGAUUUCUCAAAACCUUGUUUAUUGACCUCUGCUUGCUAUCUCUGUGUCACGCAGAGCUAAAACAACGUGAUUUUUGACCGUCCCUUUUGACUAGACACCACUUUCAAUACAAUUACACAUCUAACCAACCAUGCAAGCAAACGAACUGCACAACAUUUGAACUGCUGGGUUCAACCUGGUCCAAUGAGCACUGAUUACAGGGAGGCCGGUACCAUUGGUCCCUCAUUAGUAACCACGAUAGUAACUCAAAGGAAGCACUCGCAAAAACUACACCAAUGAAGACAUCCAGCUCCAAUGACUGCCGUCUGAAUGACUCUUCAGAUUAGUUGGUGGGCUGUCACCCACACCUGACAGCGAUACAAACUGACAGCCAAGCUGGGGAAGCAACAAUGAAAGUGUGUCACAUCAAUUUUGGUUUUCCCACCUGUUGCGUGUCUUAAUUGAGGAAUCUCCCUGACUGACAAUCAAAGCGGCUUUCAUUUCUACCAUUGCCUCGUCGGCGCUUCGAAUGAGCGGCAGCAGUCUCGAGAGUAAUCAAAUUUGUAUUUGUACCAUUGCAAACGUAAAUUUUAAGAGGAAACUGGGAGACUUCAGUCAGAGUUUCAAAUGAAGGGGAUCAAUUUGAGCUGCCAAUGAAAACCGCUUCCACUUGUGCACCCAAGACCUCCCCACGCUGCUGUUGCAAAUGUAGUUAUUAACUUCCACGAACACUCAGGCGCCAGAUUGUACCCACUUGACCUAUAAGACCGACACUUGAUGCCGCUGGUUAUAAUGAGUUACAAUAAUUACCUUAAACUGCAGAGUUUCCUCCCUGUGAAUUGACUGCACAUCAAAAAAGAAUUAGCGGUUAAGUUGCUCAUUUUUAUGUUUCUGUAGACGGGGAUGCAAUUUGAUUCGCAUCAAGGUUUGACUCCCAACACUGUGGCUUUGGCCUGUGAGCAAGUCUCUGAAAGGUGCAGUUAAAAACGCAUCAGAGGCCAGAACCAACAUAACUGUGCUGUUGUGCUCCUGUCUCUCACCAAUUGAUUGUCCAUUUAUGUAAAGAUGUCUUGAAUUGAUGUGGGUUAAAGUCAUGUGAAAACUACUCAACAAAACAGAGGUGUGAUACCUUAUAUCACACUACGUUAUGAUACAAUAGGGAAGGAUAAUAUAUGACAUGAUACAAUAUGAUAUAUGAUACUGUCUUGGACUUAAAUACCAAGAUACAUGACUUGGUUUUCAUUGGUUAUUCACCUUCCAAGGCCAUCGAACUACCUCACAAACAUGGCCUAUGAACGGCCAGAAAGUAGUGCACCUUAAGAUAGCAACAUGGCACCUUUGCACCCAACCACAUCACGGGUAUGAAGUGAGUAAUUUUUUUCUUCACAGUUGUGGGCAUUAGCGUAAGAUUUAAGACUAUGCUCCAGUUACACUCUUAGCCCAGAAUCUUUAAAGCUUUUAAGUAGUUUUAAGUUUGUGUCAAUUGUGGCGCCUCCUGUGGACAAAACAAUCCACAGUCUACAAUCUACCUAAAACUAUCUCAUCUUGCUAACUCUUGAUGGCUAAAACAAUCAUUUGAUAAAUAUAUAUUUCACACCAGAAUUGUAAAAAUGGAACUGGUUCUUAAGCUGCAUAUCUAACACCUACACCCUCAAGGUCCUUACAUACCGGGAGUGUUUUUUUCAUGCGAUUAUUUCGGACGUCAAUUAUUUUUUUCAAACCUUUAUCCUGUCAACACAAGCGUCCACAACAGCGACGUUUUACCGUCCUGCGAUACUGCGGCAUUUAUUUUUUCGCAUUACGGUCUAAUUUUCUUGAGUUUUGCAUACCGUGUGUCCGCUUCUGACUAAUCAGAUUGCGUGUUGUUGCGAUGUCUGAUUCACUGGUAUAUCCAACAUGGCCGACCGGCUGAUUGUUUAUGUGUCGGAGAGUUUUUUUUGAUAAAAGACACAAAUAUUACAAGGAUAACGACCUGAAGGACAACUUGUGGAGAGUCAUAGUGUCGGAUUUCUCAUAUGACGAUGGUUUGUGUGCUUUAACAGUUUGCUAACGUCUUUGUUUUAACUUUCAUCUGUGCUAAGUAACUUUAGCGCGUAAGCUAACCUGUUCAGAUACAACAUACCAUAUGUAUUUUCACUGUCUCAAACUCAAUCACAGCGUUGCUGUCACAGCACCAUUAGGUCUCUGUUGUUACCUUACGUUUAUGGAUUAUAGUUUAAUGUGUUUAUCUGGUACUGGCCCCGACUCAGUACAUGCUAUCAUGACAGACAGUCAUCUCAACACUAGUGUCUAAUCAGAACUGAAAAACAGUCAGUCUGCUGUUGUGUCAGUCUUCUCGCUUCCAUCCGGGAUGCGUCUUGUUUCCCCCUGGAAAGUCGCAAAAUCGCAUUGCGCUUCAUGUGUAUAGUCAGUUGGUCAAAAUCCGCCUCUGAAUAUUUCGUAAUGUUGUGUCAUAUAUUUGCGUCAUUCCUGGUGUGUAAGGACCUUUACGCUGGUUCCAUGCACUAAAAAUGACCCACACAAAUAAUUAAUCUUAUUGAUGAUGGUCUUGUUUGCUUUUGGUUAUCAAAGGCAUCAUUAUUAAUUUUUGUGUAUUUAAUAAAAAACAAAAAACUCUUCAGAGUAUCUUUAAUGCCUACCGUUUGAAUUUUGUAGUUUAGUCUAAUCCAAUGCAACAUAUUCAAAUCUAAAAUGUAAGUUUAAUGUCAUCUAUUAUGGUCCAACAUGCAAAGUUAAUUAUGUGAAAUCCAAAUCUGAAGUGCACUUCAUAUCUCUGCUUCAUGUCCUGGCUUUCACAUGCACCGAAUGAGCCCAUAAAGAGAAGCCAUAAUCCUCUCAGCUCGUCUGAAGAGGCCUUCUCAUCAUAGGUGAGUCGUGCUCUGGAGAGCUUUUGUCAUCAUCCCGGUACUUUCCCAAUCAGCGGCCUAAAUCUAACCAUGCCAUUCAAUCAAACAACGACUGAUGUUUCAUUCAUCCAUCGAAUGCAACUGGCUAAUUUAAUGCUUUCAGACUGGGGAUGAGGAGAUGCUUUGAUUAGAUAUUCUGACCCAAACUUAAAGGCAGACUAAUGCAAGACCCCAAAAUGAAAGACAUGAAAUAAAUCAAGUCAAAGUUUAAAAAUAUAAAUUUGUGCUUUUAGUCUUCUUGCCUGUUUUCUUAAAUAUUAGAAAAGAUAAGAGCAACGUUGCCUUGGAGAUUUAUAGUGUUUACGGAUGUUUUUACUGCUGAAAGAGCCUUCAAAAGUGCUUUUAUUAAUGGAAAAGUUUCUAUCCAUUACAGUUACAUCUGCCACAUUUCGUAAAUCCACUUAUCAUGAAGCUACACACAUCGAGGACGUAUUUAGGUGUCAGGAUAAAGAGUUCUGGUGCACAGCAAUUAUGGCAAACAAAAUAUGGGGUCUCAAAAAAAAAAAAAAAAAAAGUUUACCAACUCUCAAUUGCUUAUCAGAUGUCACAAAGUUUUAACGGAUGCAAAAAAUUAUAGCUAAAAUGUUUAUUUUUGUCUGAUAUAAAACAUGGAGAGUAAAACUGUGAUGUUUAAAGCAGGUACUUAAAAAACUUUUUGGCUUUUCGCUGCAUUUUCUACACGCAUACAAAAGAAUGCAUGUGUGAGGCUGUUGCAUUACACCGGUAUCGACCAUAAAUGUCUUAAAAUAAAAUGAAUAAAAAAAUAAAUAUUGAUAUCAUGCAGAAAAUCAACACAUUUUGAUUUUAUAACAGCUUUCCUGAAACCUAAGCGAGAAGAAAUUUCAAAAUAAAAGCAUGACGAUUAUUUAACAUAGCAACAUUUUCUCUUAAGAACAUUUACCGUAUUUUCCGCACUAUAAGGCGCACUUAAAAUCCUUUCAUUUUCUCAAAAAUCCUCAGUGCGCCUUGUAAUCAGGUACGCCUUAUGUAGGAAUUCUGGUUGUGCUUACUGACCUCGAACUGAUUUUAUGUGGUACACAGCGCUCAAAAAUCUGUCAAAAUGUUUUGUUACGACUUCGGUAAGCUACGAACAGCCUGAUGACUUGUCGGAACACUUUGUUUGGCUUAAUGCGCUUUAUAGUCCGGUGCACCUUAUAUUUUGGUGCACCUUGUGUAUGAAAACAGACGUGAAUAGACGCGUUCAUUGAUGGUGCGCCGUAUAGUGCGAAAAAUACGGUAGUCACAAGGCUGAUAAUAAAACAUAAAUUCAACUUUUUUAGAAAUGGGUGAUGGUGUACCAGGUUAGUUUGUUACGUUAUGCGCUGCUCCACCCUUGUAUUACUUGUUUGUUGUAGUUGGCUUGGUUGUGCUUGUCUGUAAUUUACAAAAUCGUCCUAUCAUGUAAUAGAUAGAAAAUAUGAUAUAUUUGCUUUAUCCCUCGCCUCAAAGUCUCCCAAAGUAAACAUCCUCCCAUUUCAAUGUAAGCAGUUAACGUUUUCUUUAUAGUAUCUAUGAAUCGCUGUCUCUGAGCCGUUGCCGCCAAGAAAGCUCACUCAAAAUGACUCAAUUAAUGCACUGUUCGCUUGGCCAUAUUACAACAAGAGCAUUAGUGCUUUACGGGAGCUGGGAAGUAAAAAAAAAAAACUCCAUCAGUCAACACAUAUUGUGCUGAGAUUUUACUGUGUUGUUUUACAACGAUGGGAGAAUCACCGUUUAAACAGAUUGGGAAAAGCUGAUAGUGGAUGUUUAAGUGUUCUGUGGUCCAGGGUGUGGAAAGCGUGGGAUUCGUGUUAAACACACAAGAGCAGCCCACUGACACUCAGUACCAGCUAAGGUCUGAAGUCUAAAAGUUACACUCAUUUCCACGGGUAAUGUGAUAUAAAUGGGGAUAUGUAUAGCUUAUGUGUAUCGACAGUUUUUAGUGUAGUUGUAGGAGAGCACGGGGCCAAACAUAGUUACAGAGAUUAGAGCGAGUAAGCAAGGCAAAGUCAUUCAUCCACUCCCCCUCCGCCUGCGCUACAGCGUCUGGAUCGAUAAAAGGGAGAGCUGCAUCAGGCAAAACUAAUUGUGGAGGUGGAGGUCGGGCAGUUCGUCUAUUCUUUAAAGUGCUUUAAAAUGUGCAGUGAGCUUUCUGCACGGGGAGGGAGACCCCUUCAAAAAACACAAUGUACCCAAUGACUGUUUGAUUGCCUAUCUGCUGUGUCAGUGGAAAAUAAAAGGAUGGUCUGAAGCCAAAAUGAUUUCGAAGUUAUUUGACUCUUUUACAGCAGGUGGUGGCACAGCGGUUAGAACUGUCACUUCACAGGAUCCGGGCCCAUCCGAAGCACUUUCUGCAGGAGAUUUGAUUGCUCUCCCUGAACUCCUUCCUUCAUUUUAAAGUCUGAUUGAUCGAAAGCUGUGGGGACGAAUGCAAGUGUCUGGGUUGAAUUCCUCCUGAUGUACGCUGGAGCUGAUUCAAGCUUCUGUUUCGGCAAGGAUUUAUACAGCAAAGGAGUCUCUAAGCAAGACAUUGAAUGUCAGGAUGUGCUCCUGAUUUGUGACCCUUGCAAUAGUCUAUCAAAAAGUACAGCUGUGUCCACAUUGAGAUGGGUGGAAAAUUCAAAGCAAAAGAACAAAGGUGCUGUGUCACCGUGAUCCGACAAAACAGAACCACUGCUCCGUGAAAAAAGCUUUUACACGUCAGUGGACCGCUGCUGAAGGGAUGAACUUUAUCCUUUUGAAUCUAUUUACUAAUUUGAUGCUUUAAUUGUACAAAUAAUUACUCGCUCUGUUGUCUCUCUCACAUGAUGCAAAAACCUGACUUUAGGAGACAGUUUUUGGCUUUGCCACUAUGGAUUUUUCAAGCACAGGGUGACCAAAUGGGAGCGAAAGUAGAGAAAGAUGUUGCUACACAAUAUAUGUACAAAUUUUUACAUAUAAUCUCAAUGAAUUAUUAACAUCAAAGCUCGGUCUACCAAAAUUCUGCAACUACUAGAACGACCACGGGAGUCAUUUUGACUGUUCAGUCUUUAUUUGCACAUAAUUUGGAUAAUGAACAAUUAAAACUAUUAAUCAAUUAGUGGAAUAGAUAAAAACAAAUCAGUACACAAAAUGAAAAUCAUAAUGACUGAGAUUUUUAAGAACCUUCCUCAAAAUAACAAGACACAUCAUUCCCUGAACUUGCUCAUCCAUCGGACUCUUCCUCAUCAAGGCUCGAAAGCAAGGCUAAAGCCUCCAUACUUGUCAUUUUUCUUCUAGUUGUCGUUUUUGAGUCUUAUUCUCUUAUAAAAUCUUAGUCUUGGGAAAAUGAAGCAAACAGUGAAUUAUAACACCCUUUAUAAAAAGAAUGCAGUCAAAUAUACACACAUUUAGGAAAAGUCAGGGUGUGACCGGUAAAUAGGUAUAAAUGUGUUAUGACAGUUUAGUUAUGACAUUGUAAAUUUUGAAAGCAGUCAAAAUGGCUGCCUUGGUAGUUAGAGUGUUAAGGGCGCUCAGAAAGCUUGUGAAACCCUCAGAUGAGCUUACAUCUAAGAUUGAAGAGGAUGGCAGAUUGGCUAACUUGAGCUAAAAGCUAAAAGCGGCAAGUGAUGAUAAAAACAGAAUUGAUGCAGGGUUUCCCCGACAUGCAAUUGAUCGUGGCGGUGCGGAGUUCAGGGAGAGCAAUCAAAUCUCACAUAGUUCUACCUCGGACUCAUAUGUAUCAGCAGUGUUUCCCCUACAUUCAUUCAGCAGUGGCGCACCGCUGAAUGAUUCUACUCGCACUGUGUGAGCACAAUAACACACAACGUUAUUUCCGACUUGUUGUGAGUCAUCAAGGAGCGCAUCAAAUUCUGUCGGACCCUCUCUAUCAACGUGAAAGGUAACCAUCAAGCUCAUACAUGGUCUAUAUAGCGAGUAGCAUUAAUAGUAUCAGUAGCAUUAUUAUCAAUGCGGCACUUAUAAUUUCUACUCGUGCUGUGUGAGCACAACAAUACACGGUUAUUUUCCACUUGUUUUGAGUCUUUAAGGUGCGCAUCAAAUCCUGUCGGACCCUCUUCCACUAAUGUGAAGGGUAAAGUUUAAGCUUAUAUGCGGUCUAUAUAGUGAGUAGCGCGGGUAACGAAACGUGAAUGUAACAGCGUAGCUCCUGGAGCGGCAAGAGAGUGGGGAUAACGACGACCAAAUUACUCAAAACCUAUACUUAAUGGCAAAUAUUGGAAAGACAACAUUUUAAAAGUUGAAACAAAAAAAUCCCGUUUACAUUAAAGUUGGAAAAACACCAGUAAAUGACUUUGUAGAUGUUUUAAUGUGUUUUAAAAAAAUAACACCUCCUGAUAUAUGAGGUUAACUUGGCAGAGUGGGUCUUAAGUUUUUAUUAAUUCAGUUAUUUCCUCAUUUUGUAAUUUAGUUGUAUUUUCCUGUUGUCCAUGUUUCCCUGUGUAAAUUAUUCUUACAUUCCUUUUGUUUUUGUGCUUUUUUCCUGCUUGUUUUUAUAGAUCUGUUUCCUGUUGUAUUUUGUAGUAGUCAGUCCCUGUGUGUCAAGGCUAGCUCACCCUCCUUUGUUGAUUACUAACGAGCUUCACCUGUGUCUCGUCGACCUCACCUGCUGCUCGUUAAAGUCAGCAGCUUAAGACGGAAUGUUUUUGAUCUGGUAACGAGGAACAUGAACCAAAUGGUGCUCAGAAUUCCUCUGAAUGCAGUUUGACCCUGAACUCAUACAUGCAUUUUAAAACUGUACUGUUAGUAAACCACAUAAAAACCCUUGGCAAGAUGUGUAAAACAGUCCUGUGGUCCUUUUGGGAGUCAUGGAUGACGCUCUGCAGAAUUCAUAGGCCAUUAGUAUCACUGACUGGACUGCAUUAGAGCUAUGAAUAGAAAGCGGACUGUACGUGCCGUGGUUGACAUGAGCAUGACAUCCUGGAUAUCAUGAGUGACAUGUGGGCUUAUUGCUGGGAAUUCAGGCACACGCUCACGUGUAAGUUGGAGGGCUUGAGUUGUUCUAAGAAUAUCCUUAUCUUCAUGGCAAGAAAAUUCGAGAUGUUGAAUCCGGUCCACAUGACACCAACUUACACUGUUUGCAGUCAAGAAGCGAUCAAACCAAGUGCUGGAUCACAGAGCUGCUUGACUCAUCUCUCUAGUUGUACUAAAUGAGUGGCGACAGAUGCAGUAACUCAGCUUUUUGGCGAUUUCGAUUAUGACUGAUAAUUGGUAAAAUAAAGCAAUUGGAAAAAAGACCAGUCUGCAUUAAAAUGGGGGACUUGAUUCGCUUCCAAGUGAGUGGCAUGGCAUCAAUUUUCUCCACACAUGAAGGGGAAAUACGGGUAUAAAAUAUUGGCCCAAGGAGAGUCUUGCAAGUGUGUAAUAUUGCAAUGUUUGCUCAAAACAACUUUAAAAAAAAAGCACAAUCGUAACAAAACAAACAGGCCAUGGAUGUGAAAACAGCCUGAGAACUUGGAAACUGAUGGAUGACUGACUCUCAGUGGAACCAUUAUCCAUUAUUGCCAGCAGUGAACUCGUACUAUGCUAAUGAUGAGGGAAAUUUGUAGCGUCUUUACUGGCCUAAAUAGGGUUCACUAAAAAUGUUUGGGACCGCUUUUGUACUGACUAAAAGAAAGUCAAUACAUCCAGCUGAAAAGAAACAGGAGGGGGGUAGCAUCCUAGAAGGAUGCAAUGAGCUGGAAUGAGCACACUUAUGAAACAAGACUCUAAUGCUGGUUGAAUCCCCGGUGUAAGAGAAGCAGAAAUGUAAGCUUGCAUAAUAAGUUAACAUUAUGUCUUUCACAUCACUCGAGUUUGCAGGGUUCUUUUACAGCGUCUUCUCAAGCCUAGUGCCUCAUCUCCAGCUCUUGAUUUAAUCACGGGGAUUAUUGUGCAAUAAGUCUCGGGAUCAACUUAUUCUCAGGCAAUUUUCCAAUGACUAAUAAUACACAUAUCUGAGAGCGCACACGCUAUAAGAAGCACUGAAAAGCACCCAAUAAAGUCCAAUAAAAACCCUGCAAAUUACAUAACGUUGGAGGGAAUAUAGUGGGCUUUUGCAUGCAUGUAGUUAGUCUUUCAAUCCAAUCACAUCAAUUGGAUGUCACUGGAUGGUGGAAAAAUGGUUUAAUUAUCUGGAGGCGUUCAGUUUUCAUGGCCUUUUAAUCCUUAAAUUGAAUUUCUAGUAUUGAGACUCAAUUUGGUGUAUGUAAUUGCUGUUUCAUUAGACACUAACUGACCUGGCUUUGACUUGCAAAAUGGGCGAGAAUCAACAGUGAAAACAUCUUUGUUUUGUUUUUAAUGUAAAAGUGUGUAUUUGUGAGUGGAUAAAGAUAGAAAAAGGUCUUAGUUCAGGAAAUCCUAUUUGACGACGUAAUUUGCAUCGGAUGAGAGCCGCUAAUUAAAAACAAGCUGUUCUGAUCAACGAAAGGUUUCAUUCCAGCGGCUUUAAAUUCUCAGAUUUAAGACAAUAAAAAGGAUUUUACAGCCUCAUCAAAUCUUAGCAGGGGGAGAUUAGUCAGUAAAAUCGAAUAUGACUGAUAUGUCUUUAAAAGUACUCAUUUUUUACAAUUCAAUCAGCUGAACCGUUAAUGUCCUAAUCGAAAAGAAGGACUUGUAAAUCAAUCAUCUAGCACUAUCAAUCCUUUGAAUAUGAAUGCAAAAAGUACAGGACUUUUUAAGUGAUUCAGAAAAGAGAUAAAAUAGGAUAAUAAGAUCAAAUGUUCUGUUUCAAGAAUCAAUUUAAAAACUUUAUAGUCUCAAAAAAUUGAUUUAUCUUCCUUUAGAUUAUUCCCUCUUGCCUAGUUUUGGCGUUUUCUUCACUUAAAUGCGCAUUUUUGUUGUUUCAAACACAUCUUGUCGUGGUAGAAGAUAGUGGCGACGGCUUGGACCCAUUUUACCGCCAUCGGAGUGUACACAACUGAAGGUUAAAGCCAAUUUGAUAGCCUUCAAAUACAUGAUAUAAGAUCUUUUCCACCACAAAACUAGGGGCUAGCUUCAUGAAAAUAUUCUAGCUGACUUUUGCAAUAAGCUGAGAUGAGCAUAGCUGCUCCCUCUCUGGGGGUAAUCAACAAAUCUGUUUAGUCGCAAAAGGAAUGGAGAAACCGCGAGAACAUCCGAGGGGGGGCUCUUUCAAGACAUCAGAGACCCACCGCUAAGAGUUGGAUCUAUUUUUCUGUCUUAGCUGCCUUUGUUCUGCUACCACUCCCUUUCAACAUCAGACAGGACAGAGAUUUAAAACCUCUGGCAUGACUUUUUAUCAGGAAUGCCUUUUCGAUUUGCUGCAGAUCUCCUCCUCACCUGGUGCAGAGUGUCACAGAGAGGAAAAGUGAGAGUGAUCAUAAAUCCCACUGAUGACUUAUUUAACGGUAUGAUCUGCGGUCUUCUCCACAUUCAUGUAUAAGCCCUUUAGGCAUCUCUCAGAGGUGAUUUUUUUUUCCAAGUCUGGCCUCUGCACUCCUAUAUGAAGCAGAGAAAUAUAAAAUGCAUUACUGCGUACUUCCAGGCCCUUUGUUGCAGCCACCUACGCUACAGUACCUUGUCAAGUUGUUAUUGUAAGCCUUUGGAAUCUGACAGGAGCCUCUGGAGGACUCAUUUUCACUCAGAAAAAAAAAGCCACAAUUUGAGAUUAUGUAAGCAUGAAAGUUUUCACCGUGUGGUCUGACUUCCUUUCUGUCUGUGGCAAAAAUAGUUUGUAGAUAAUCGUAUCAUUUGCUUGUGUGGCAGGAGAAUGUCUCUAUUUACACAAUGGUAAGAUGUUUCAUUAAUAAUGUAGAAUUUCAAGGGAAUGAUAAGAUAUAACUCUUGAGUUUUAGACCACUUUUAGGAAGCAUUGUGGAGUUGAACCAUGCACGGUGAAUGGCAACAAACCCGUUUUAACUCUCAUAAUAUCCUCAUGAAAUAGCUUACAGCCUUGUCUGUUCUUGUAUCUCAUGGCCAUGGCAAAUAAAAUUCAACAGACUAUCUCAUUGUCAAAAUAACAAUAUUUAAUUCAUAGCUGGGUAGUGAAAAAGUUUGUUCCUGACAACUUGUUCCAGACUCCAUGCCAAACUGAAUGUACUUUUAUGAGGAGUAAAAUUUGGCUGACCUUGUUUGAAACCGAGAGUUGAAAAGCAUUAGCUGCACUGUGGUGGGAACAAUCUUUGAGAAGACAGCAGAAAUAUAAAAUGGGACAGGCUCAAAUGUACGCUAGAGUCAAAGUGCAGUUUACUUUGCAAAUUUAAAGUUUAACCAACACUGUGCAUUCAAAUGAGCUUUAAUCAAAGGCACAAAGCACAUUAGUUUUGAUUAAUCCCAUUCACAAAUCCCGUGGCGCAGCCAGUAGGGCCGGGUGGGGUCAAGUGUCGCGCCCAAGGACGCCUCCACAUGUGGAAAGCAAGACCUGGGAUUAAACCUCGACCUUUGAAUUGGGUGAUGAUUGACUAUACGACUGAAGCACAGAUAGGCCUGAAAGGUCCACAGUGACUACACUAGGGCCCGACCGACUGGGAACAGUUGGGAACAGCAACAGCAGCGCAGUUAAAUCUACUCGAUACUCCUAACCCUAGCUGUCAACGUCAGGUGUUGAAUAAGGGACCGUCAAUAAAUUACCGGUUGAUGUUCUCAAAACAUCUGUUUCUGUUUUCCUUUAACACCUCCAUGUCACGUGACAACUAGACCAAAACUUGAUUUCAAAUGAUAGUACUUAUUAGGGCCCGACCAAUUUAUCGGCAAGCCGAUUAAAUCGGCCCAUUUGAGACUAAUUGGUAAUCGGCCAAAACUUGCAGAUUUUCGUCGAUAUUUUCAGAAAUAAAAUGCGGAGAAUAAGAUUCGGUUUCACUUCGAAAAUGUUCCGCCAUUUGAAAAGUUCCCCGACUUAUCCUGUAGAUGGCGCAGCGACCUCAUGACAAUCGUCAUCCACUAACUACCUCACAGCAGAGUGACGGAUCUGAAGCAGACAGCUCAGGGACGCACGGAGGAGAGUGGUCCGCCUCAACGGUAAAUAAACCAGUUUGUGAAAUACACAAUAAGUCAACAGGUUUCAGUUCAACCCACUUCACGAUGUUCCCCGCUGUGCUGGUCUCGGUCACGCUGAGUUAACGAUGAAGCACCAUGUAAUAUGCAAGCUAAAGUUAGAGUUAGCCAUCUGCUAUUAGCCUUGCUACACUGUUAGCCGUGCCAGUAACAGUAGAAUAAACAG
rnacentral:lncRNA from 1 species